AUGAAAUGAGAGAGAAUAUGAUUAUGGGGAGUGGAGUGUGGUAUAUAUAGACAGGAAGUGUGUAUGCAGAGGUAAGGUGUUUGGAAAGGGGAAUGCGGAUAUAUAGACACGAAGUGUGCGUGUGUGUGUCUCUGUGUGUGUAUAGGUGUACGUGCUUGGAGGAAAAGUUGGAAUUGUAAAGCGAAAUUGCCCAUGGAAUCGACGUGCUUCUGUCUCUGUGUGUUCGAGCUCUGAGAGUUUAGUGAGCAUUCAAUGCUUUGUUGUGCAGACAAUAUACAGAGUCAAUUGCAGUUUAGUGCCAUGAAAAAUAAUAAUUUUAUGGUUUGGUGACUGAUGUUCAAAACCUUGCAUCUUCAUUGUUCAAACCAAAAUUUUGUUUAAAAUCAAUAUUUAUUUCUACAAAUCUAUACAAUACUAUUAAAGCCGAAAUAUUAAAAGUUUGGCCGGUCGGUACGCGUGCUUUUAUACGGACUUUUAUAAUUAGCGGGUUUUGUUGAUAGAGGAAUUUGGUGAAUCAACAAACGUGAGGUUCAUUGCCGGAAUACGGUGUAGCGUGGUGGUGAUAUGACGGAAAACCGUCGUAGGAUGGUAGUGUUAGGUGUUUGAGGGUGGCUGAGAUCAAGGGAAUAUAUCUUCGCUCUCGUUCUCACAACUCUCGAUAUCUCCCUUGAUGUGCCUACGUACCCCUUUAUAUAGGGGAUCAAGCCGUACGUAGUUCUAUUGAACCAAGACUCCUAGUUUGAUCAAGACUAGGACUCUUGGGGAUAAGACCAACAUCAAGCCGGUGACUUAUCACUUAGAGUUCUACUCCAGUUAGAAUUAAGCCUCGAGACAACUACCGUAGACUCCUAGUCCAAGUACAUCACGGAUACGGCAUCAUCUCCACUACGAGAGAUGACACUAACCGCUACUCUUUCGUAGCAUGGAGGAGACGUCCGAUAGAGCCGUGACCAACUCCAUGAGGUGUAGUGACGCGUCCUCACCCCUUAGUGAAGGUUCUCACUAAAGGGCAAGACAAAUAAGGAGCCAAGUUACACGAUCGUCUCAGUCCCCCAAUGAGGGCUAACUCACUAGAAUACAGGACCCAGACAUAUGAUCGGCCUUCAUGAUACCCCUGAGGGCCUUCAACAAUCAUGAUCACCUCAAGCCCCCGCACGAGGACAACCCGGCAGAUAGCAGGAUUGAGGAUUAUAGAUCACGCCCGGACGUAACCCGGGAACUACCAGAUGAGCCUGAUAACUACCAGAUGAGCCCGGCACUAGUCUUCAUAUCCCUCGGAAGGGUUGGUCUUCGUAUCCCUCGGAAGGGUCGUCAUUGAGACUCACUCAUCCUCACACAUAACAAAUUUACCUGUGGGCGCGACCAUGGAGGGCGCGCCCUUCUCCUUCGUUAUCCUGUCUAAUCAUCUCUCUCCAGUAACAGAGACCAUACCUUCUUUCAGACAAAGGCCGCACCUUCCGGGCUGACCCUGUGAAGGGCGCGCCCUUCCUGACCUUCAUCACCUGUCUUCCGAGUUUCGAACAUGACACAACCAUUCAUGACACUCCUGUCCCCGCCACUCAGGGUCGCCCCCCACGGGAUCGCCCCGUGGAGGGCGCGCCCACCUUGAUAUUCUCAUGGCCAAAACUGGCCAUAACAGGUUUCAAACAAAAUUAGUGGGUUUCAAACAAAAUAUAAACAAAUCAAAACAUAAAACAAAUAUACGAUCAAAACAUAACAAAUAUAAAACCUAUUUGACUAUACCAAAAUUAAAGUCAAACCUUAAAAAAUACUAUCCUAUUAAAACCGAAACAUUAAAAAUUUGAUCGGUCGGUGCGCGGGCCUUUAUAUGGACUUUUAUAAUUAGCGGGUUUCAAACAAAAUUAGUGGGCUUCAAACAAAAUAUAAACAAAUCAAAAUAUAAAACAAAUAUAAGAUCACAACCUUAAAAAAAUAUAUACGCAUCUAUCUAUACUAUACUAUUAAAGUCGAAACAUUGAAAUUUUGGUCAAUCCGUACUUGGGCCAAAAUACGGGCCUAUCUAUAUACCAAUUAUUCUUUUAAACUAAAAUAUGUUUCUUUUUUUAUAUUUUCUAAAUAAAAAACUCCAUUAUUUAAAAUAACAUCGAAAAACGUAGUAAUUACUUUUUUAACUAAAACACAUUCUUUUUUUUAUAUAUUCUAACUAAAAAAUGGAAAUUCUACAAUUAACACGGGCUACAUAUAUCAUAAUUUUAUUCUCACAAUAAUAUUAGUUUACCAUACUAAGCCGAAACAAUAAAAGUUUGGUCGGUCGGUACUUGGGCCAAGUUAUGGGCCUACUUAUAUAAUCAAUUAUCUUUCUAACUAAAUCUAUUAUCUUUUUUUAUAUGUUCUAACUAAAAACACUCAAUUUUUUAAAAUAAUAUUGAACAACAUAGCAACUACUCUUUUUUACUAAAACACAUUAUCUUUUUCAGAAUCCUAACUAAAAAAUCGAUUUUCCAGUAAAUAAAAUACAUCUAUAUUAGACUAUUAAAGCCGAAACAUUGAAAAUUUGGUCAGUAGUUACUUGAGCCAUAUACGAGCCUAUCUAUAUACCAAUUAUUCUUUUUAUUUAAAAUAUGUUAACUUUCUUAUAUUUUCUAACUAAAAAAACUCCAUCAUUUAAAAUAACAUCGAGAAACAUAAUAAUUACCUUUUUAACUAAAACACAUUAUCUUUUUUAAUAUUUUCUAAUUAAAAAGGGAUCUUCUACAAUUAACACGAGCUUCAUAUGUUAAAAUAUAAUAAUAUUAUAUAUAUUUAUUAAUAAAUAACCUGUGAUAUUUUUCAACCAAAAUACAUUAAAAUUAUUUUUAAAUAUAUUAAUGUAAUCACUUUAAAAGUAAUAUUAUACAUCUAUAAUAUACUAUUAUACUGUUAAAUCCGAAACAUGAAAAGUUCAGUUAGUCAGUAGGUCACUCGAGUAUGGUGAGCCGGUUGGUGUUCGACCCACGAACCUCCUUAAUUUAUAACAUAUUAUAAUAUAUUUUUUUUAUCAUCUAUUAAACCAAAACAUUUAGAUUAGUGGUUUACGCGUCUUUUUUAACUUAUUAUGUUCCAUACUAUAUUAUCAAUAAUGAAAUAUUAAAAGAUUGAUUGGUUGAUUUAUAUCUGAUUUUAUAGAUCUUCUUAAAUUAUAACAUGAAAUAAAAACGUAUUUUAACAUUCUCAGUAAAAUAUAUAUGUUCGACCUAACUUUUAAUUAGCCAUUUGACGAAAUUAACUAUAAGAAUUUAACAUCUGUUAAAUAAAAAAUUUAUUUAAUCAUAUUAUUCUAUCCAAAUUUUAUUCUCACAAUAAUAUUAGUUUAAGUUAAAAUAUAUACGAUAAAAUAGCAAAUAUUAUAACUGCAUGUGCAUUGCACGGGUUAUAAGCUAGUAUAAUGUAAUUAUGUAAAUGUAAAACUUUAUUUUUUAGAAUAAAGUAAUCAAAUAGUGUUGUAAAUUAAUAAAAAACGAGUAAUGACUAUUUUAAGUAAUAUUUUCGUGCUACAUUAGUCAAAUCUCAAUUUUGAUCUUUUCACUUUUGCUCAAGUCAAUUCAAUCUUUCUUUUUAUUAAAAUUGCACUUAUCUUAUUUAUAUUGUCGGUAAAUAUUUUUAUAUGUGAAAAUUACAUACAACAUAAUCGGGUUAAAAUAUAUAAAUGGGAUCCGUUGAUGGAAUUUUUAAAAUAACGUUCUAAUAUGCUCUAAAAAAUUGAAUAAUAUUGGUUAACUUUUUUGACUGAAAGCUACAUACAUUUUAUAAUUAAAAAUAGAGAAAAGUGCACUAUGUGUACUCGCACUUUACACGUUCCAGCACUUUCAGUAUUGUACUUACAUGUCCUGCACCCGAACGACUGCACUUCAGAAUUUUCAGCAAUGAGUGUACUCCGGUCAAAUAAAAUGUGACGGUGUUAGAUUAGUCUGUAAUUAGUAGGGUAAAUUAAAUUUUCAAACCUUAAACCGACAAAACAUUACAUAUUCUCUAACAAAUAAUUAUCACAGCGGGCUGACAAUCAAUUGAGAAAAACAUCUAAUUCAAUGAAAUCGAUUGACUUGGGUAGAAUCUUAGCCGCCAUUUGAUAAUUGGAGAAAUCAAUUGGCAAGGACCACACCAAGUGGCAACAAACUCAGCAAGAACUGGAGGAUUAAACUUCAAUACAACAUCUGAAAACUGAGCCUCGUCAAUCUCUAUAACACCGCUGCAAGUAAUCAACAAUCUCCUGCUGCAACGAGAGACUUAAUUCGAAAAGCUUCUGGUACUGUGGCGGAAUAGAAGCUUCCUUCUGAAUUCCUCGACGGCGGCGUAGAAAACAAUAAAGUGGCGCCGGUGCCGGAAAAUUUAGCUGCACGGAUCGGGUAACUAGAGAGGAGAUUGGAAGUUGAGGCCAUUGUUGUAGUAGUCUCUAUUAUCGAGAAGAUAAACAGUGAAAUGCUUGAGUUAGUUUCUGGGGAAACUAGAUAUGAGAUUAUAGUUGUGUGGUGUGGUGUGGAGAGUUAUUAUCCUCCGUGGAGACAGCAAUAGCAUACACCAAAUACUCUGAUCCUGCUAAUUGAUCAACCCUGUUAAUUAAUAAUUAAUCUAACGCCGUUAAGUUUUAUUUGACGGAAGUACACUAACUGGUGAAAAUCCUGAAGUGCAGUCGUUCGGGUGUAGGAUAUGAAAGUACAAUAUUAAAAGUGCUGGAACGUGUAAAGUGCGAGUACACAUAGUGCACUUUUCUCUUAAAAAUAUUUCAAACACAGACUGUGCACUCGAAGUUUCCAACAUAUGCACAUCAUUGUCAUUGUUUAGCUUAAGUUUCAUAUCUAGCAAAUAGCAUGAUCGAGUUUAAAAAAAUAUUACAAUUCGCAUACUUCCGUAGAUAGGAUUAACGAUAUGUGGGUAUUUUUGUAAUUUCACUACUGCAACGACUAGUUUUAUUUUGGGCGUGUAUAUAUAAUCGAAUUAAGCGUGUGUAUAAACGGGUUAAACCCCCCAAAAUCGUAACCCUAAUUUCAGAAUUGAGUAACCUCGUUGUAUUUAAUGGAGGAAUGGUGUGUAUGUCGUAUGUUGGUUGUGGAACGCACGGUUUAGACGGAGAGUAAUGCAUGUCGGAGAUUUGUUAGCUGUCUAAACAGUAGAAGGAGUCGCAAGUAUUUCCGUUGGGUGGAUCCGCCGGUUUGCGAUCGUGGUCGUGCUUUUAUACUUGGGUUACUUAGAAGAAUACAGAGGAAUAAAAAGAAACUUGAAAAAUUAAUGUUGUUGUAAGACAAAGAGAAGCAAAUAAGAUGUUACUCCCUCCGUCCCAGCAGAUUCUUUACAGUUUCCUUUUUAAGCCGUCCCACUCAUUUCUUUACAUUACAAAACUUUCCUAAAAUAGGUAAUGGGUCCCACCACUUUCUCACUUUUUCUUACUUUUCACACUACUUUUACUCCCCUAUCUCCCUUUUAUAUAUUAAAAACCAAUGGGUCCCACCACUUCACCCACUUUUCUUUCUCUUUUCCACUACUUUAUACAUAUUUUUUAACAUCCGUGCCCAAACCCAAUGUAAAGAAUUGGGUGGGACGGAGGGAGUACAAAACUGGGAUCAAUCGAUGGGUUUAUAUUAAUUUUGUUGUUGUAAUUGUUCUUAUUGUUGUUGUUUGCUUUGACCAGUACGAAACUAAAGAUCCCAUAUAAUUGUGUUUGUCAUUGUAAUAAAAGUUAGAUUUUGUCUUUGAUCGAAUGUAAUGGUGCUUGUGUUUGAUCGGAUGGUUUGCGUAUUUUGUGUAAUUGUGUUUGACAAGAUUAAGGUUGGUGCAAAUCAAUUCAUUAAACUGAGACUGGCCUAUGAUUUGCAAUAUAUGUAUCUUCGAUGUUUAAUGACAACUGACCUUGUUGGGCUUAAUUAAUGGCUUAAUGACGUGGCGGUCGAGUUUGUUUUUUUAGUUAUUUUCCUAUUAACAGCUUUGCGCAUGCCAAAUUGUCAAUGUCCCAUAAUAUUCGUCCUCCGUGUACAAGUGAUUUUGUAUUUAUUUUAGCAUUUUUAAUUAUUUUCACUAAUAACUUUUCUUAUUUGGGAAAGUAGAUUUUUUUUACCAUCCAACUUAUUAUUUAUUUAGAAACCUACCACUGAACUAUAAUUGUUUUCUGUUUUGUCACUAAUGUUAAGUUCGGAUUUUUAUUUUGUUACUAACGUUAGGUUCGGAUUUUUUUUGUCACUAACGUUAGGUUCGGAUUUGAUUAUUAACACUAUAUUAUUCUUUUUAGCAUUAUUAAAAUGUAGUGAUAGUCUGCAAUAUAAUAGUUAUCUGAUAUGUGUCUAUAUCUUUAUAUACAGUACUCCAUAUGUGUCCUAGUAGUUUAUCUUGAAGGACGGGAGUAGUUAGAAAUAUUAUUUUUCAAAUUUUCCUUUUUGUGAAUUAAAAUAUAUAAUCAAAAUUUUAAUUCAUUAAAAAAAUUAAUCAAAAAUAAUAGUUUUUACUAUCCGGUCAACUCACCUAAACAUGUGUGUCAAAAGUCAAAAUAUCAAAUAAUAAAAUAACAGAGAGAGUAUAUUCUAUAAAAAGUGAGAACCCUAAAAUACGUGCCAAGUAGUGGUAAAGAACUUUAAAUAAAUGAGAUGGACAUAAAGGAGUGGUAAAAUCAGGAAGAAUUAUAAUUAGAAUUCUAAAAUUUCAUUAAAUUAUCAAUAUGAAAUCAAUGACUUCAAACAUAAUAUUGCACACUACCACUAUGUUUUUAUAAUGGUAUAAAAAUAACAUAUUGUUAAAUUCAAACGUUAAAUUUUAUUUAGAAAAAAUAAAAUAAAAUAAUUUUUGAAACUAAAUUUUUUAGCAGUCUCAAAAUGUGUGUCCAACUUUCGUCCUCCAAGGUAAACUACAUGCAUAUGUAAUAUUACAUAUAAAGAUAUAGACACAUAUCAGAUCACCAUAAUAUUGCAGACUAACAGUAUAAUUUAAUAAUGCUAAAAAGAAUAACAUAGUGUUAAUAAUCAAAUCCGAACCUAACUUUAGCGAUAAAAAAAUUUGAACCUAACAUUAAUGACAAAAUAGGAAAAAAUUACAGUUCAGUGGUAGGUUUCUAAAUAAAUAAUUAGUUGGGUGGCAAAAAAAUCUACUUUCCUUUCUUAUUUUAGUAUCUUGAUUUUGUUAGGGUUAAGGCUCUGAAUGCCCACAUCCGAACAGAAAAUAACCAAAAUACCCAUUGUCAGGAACUGUGGCCCUUUUUACAGACUGAUUGCGCAGAGUGUAGAUGCAUGUUCUGAAUUCACAUAAUCCCUCCGUCUCUAAAUACUUUUUGUGUUUGUACUUUUCACGUUCGUCAAUACACACUUUUGAUCGUUAAUAUCUUUCAUUUCGUAGUAGCAUUAAAUAUAAAAACUUCACCGUAUUAAAGUACUCGUGAAUACGAAUCUAACAAGAUCACUCAUGACUAUAUUUAGAUUUAUAGAUUAGAUGUAAAUAAGUAAGUUGUCUCAUGUUAUGAACAGUACCGACAUCACAAACAAGAAAAGAAAAAAAGAAACAGAGGGAGUAUAAUAAAUGCGUAUACAAUGCAUAUUUGUUUGCCAACUACGUUAGAUGCGCAUAUACUGCUUGCAUAUAUGUAGAGUCGCAUUUGUGGGAUGCGACGGUGUUAGAUAUACUUGCGAUUUUGACCUAAAACGAGUGGGUAAAAUUGAAACCAACCUCAUCAUAAAAUAUAAACCGGUGCAAUUUCAACAGGUUAAAAUGAUCGUGGUUUUUGAUAGAGCCGGAAACACCGGCUAUAUUAGAAAGUGAGGAAUAUAUAAAUAUAAAAUAUGUAAGUAUAUAUUUUAUGAAUAUGGUAUGAGUUAUAGAACGUGUCGACGGGAAACACCAUUAUAUAAGUAUAUCAUAAGGGGAAGAGGCGACUUUCUCUUUAAAGAGAGAGAAAGAGUAAUGCAAGACAAAAUGCACUGGGAUGCUUGCCUUUACGGUUUACCUUUCAUAUAUGACAAUAUAGCAUAAGUAGUUGUAUGUCUGUCAAGAAUACGCAUGUUGUUUAUGCAAGUUCAGUGGGUAUUAAGGCCAACUCUCCCAGAAAAGGUAAUUUGAGAAUUAUUUUUUAUGGAGGAGCUAUAUUGGGCAUUCUUUCUCAUUAAUAUGCAUAUUAAUACUCAUUAUUAUUUAUUUGAUCAUAAAUAUAUAUACUUUUAUAAAUAAAAAAAAUUAGUGUAAAUCACUUAUUAAAUGCUAAACCCCUACAUUAAUGUACAUGUAAUUUUGUAUGUAACGCAAUUCAUUUAUUUAAGCCUAUUAACUGUUGCAUAAUAAAUAGAUAUAUUUAUAUAUAACUCAUCAUUAUUAUAUUGUGAUUAUGGAUACAUACAAAUAUACAUACUCAAACAUACAUACACACACAUGCAUAAUAUAACACCCAUUCAUAAAUGGGAGGAGAUAAUACUUAAAAUCAUUAAUGUCUUAAUAAAAUUAAACCUCCUGAUAGUUCAAACUAAUCAAUUUAAAUAAACUAAAUAUCUAAAUAAAUAUUAAAAUAUUAAGUAAUGCUAAAAGCCCACAAGUCCUAACCAACAAAAGUAAAAGAUAGCUAUUCAUCACACAGUCCCAGAUCCCCCUAAAUACCUGUCAGAGAAAGAAUACGAAAUGAGCCAAAUGUUCAGUAUGGAUUGGAAGUAGUAUUUAAUAAAACAUGAAGUAGAAAUAAUAUUUUGAUCAUUUUAUAAUAAAGAGAAAGAUGUUGAAUCAACAAAGGGUUAGGAUAUUUCAUACCGAGAUCAUAACAGAUACAGAUACAUCCAUCAUAGGGUACCGUAAUGUAUGCAACAAAUCAGAUAAAUACACAUAUGUAUCGUCACCGCCAAAUCAAAUAAAAUCAAACUAUGGUGCAUCCACGUAUCCUGAACAAAUAUCAAAUGGUCAAAGCUCCUCUUAAAGCUAACAAAAGAAUACGCUAUGAUCAAUCACACUGUCACGAAAACGUCAUGCCACUGGUGCUGCAAUGACAUGGCUAUAGUACCCCUACAGCUGGUUAACUCGGUAUACCCUAUAUCACUAAGGGUCCAAAUAAAAUAAUUUUACAUAAUUUUAAAAAAAAUACUUCUCGCAGAUACUUCGAAUAUUGUAAACAAAUACAUAAAACGAAUAAUUUUCAGAAUCACCAUUACAGAUAUUCAAACUAGUAUAAAAACCCGUGCAAGGCACGGGCCGCUAAUCUAUAUUGUAUUUUAUAUCAUAUUUUUGUGUAAUUAUCUUAUUUAGAACAUGCAUAUUAUUUAUCUGUUUUUCUAUAAAAUAUUUGAGUUUGAUUCUUUUGUUUAAGCAAGUGAAAAUAUAAUAUUUACUAUUUAGCAAUAAUAAUAUUAAGAGCAAACUUCAGAUUUGUGGCUAAAGUUUGCACCGGUUUUCAAAAAGUUGGCCAGAGUUCCAAAUUCUCAAAAAGAUGGCCAAAUUUUGGCUUCGCUUUUUAAAAGUGUGGCUCCCGUUAAAUGUCACUAACGGAAGCCUAACGGGAGCCACAUUUUUGAAAAACGGGCCAAAGUUUAGCCACUUUUCUGAGAAUUUGGAACUUAUUUUUACCCUUAUGUCCAUUUCAAAUUUCAGAAAAGUGGCCAAACUUUGGCCCGCUUUUCAAAAAUGUGGCUCCCGUUAGGCUUCCGUUAGUGACAUUUAACGGAAGCCACAUUUCUAAAAAAUAAAGUCAAAAUUUGGCCACGUUUUCGAGAAUUUGAAACUCUGGUCAACUUUUUGAAAAUCGGUGUAAACUUUAGCCACAACUUUGAAGUUUACUCUAAUAUUAAUAUAUCACCAUACUUUAAAAAUUUAUUCCGGAUCAUAAACAUAUUUGGACAUAUUAGCUCAUGUUGUCAAAUCACGAUUAAGUUUUAAGAUAUUGCAAGAAUUCUUGUAAUGCAUAUAUAAUUUUCGAUAGUUUGAUUGUGAUUAGAGAACAAUGUAUCACUGCCACUAUCUCACGCUCCUAUUUUCAUGUAUGGAGGAUUCGAAUACUUUGAUAAUACUUAAGAUUAUUCGGACUCAACGUGUAAUUUUUAAUGUUUAAGACUGGAUCAACCGGAAAGUGUGUAGAAUUAACAAUGUUUAAGAUCGAAUCAACAUGAAAGUCAAAAAUCAAAACACAUGAAUAUUUUUUGUGUUACUUGAUUAAAAUUUACAUGAAUUAAUUGCUCGAUUAAUUACUUCUAAUUUUUUGUACCCACAAAUUUGUUAGUGAUACUUUUAUAAAUGAAAUUUUAAUGUAAAAUGAUAAGCGCAAUUAAUGUCAUUAUUUUAUGUGUAAUUAGAGCAUUCAAUAGCAUUUAAUAAUUUUAGUGAAUUAAAUGAAUUUUUGGAUGGUAUUCUUGUAAUUAUAUGAUGAGUAAGGGUAUAUCAGACAUUUCACAGCUAUUUUCUUGAUACUUUUUGCCCUUAGUUGCCUUAUUAUAUAUACUAGCCUUUAACCCGUGCGAAGCACGGGCGGUUAUAUAAUUCGUAAUUUAUUUUUUAUAACUUAAAUUUAACAUUAUUUUAUUAGUAUUUUAAUAUUAAAGAAUUGAACCUUAGUUAAAUUAUAUUAACUAACGGAUUAUAUUUUCUCACAAAAAUUUAACUUUUACAAUUUAUUAUCUAUUUUAAUUUUUUGUUAUUAACAUGCGAUAAUUUAUUAUUCAAUUAAUUUUAAAUCAUAUUUUUCAUAUUUCGUAUAUCUUCAUGUGUAUGAGAAAGAUAUUUGCCGUGUAGCAGAUUAGAGUUAAAAAAAAUUAUGUAAUUAUUCGUGUUUGUAUUGAAAUAGAACAUGUUAGAAUUCGAAAGAGUUAUAUCAAGGUUUUUGUUAAAAAAAUAUAUUCAAAAUGAUAUAUAUAAUUUUAUUUUAAUGUCAUUACAAUUUUUUUAAUGAAAUAACAAAGCAAGCCGAAGACUCGAAAGUUAUAUGCGUGUGGUGUUUUGGAUCGGUUUAAAACUUGUAUUUAUUAUGAGAUAGAUUUUUAGUAUUGUAAUUUUUUUAAAACUUGUACUUAUAAGAGAUAGAUUUUUAGUCUUAUAAUUGUUUAAGACUUGUACCUAUUAAGAUAGAUUUCUACCAAAAAACAUGAACAAAAUUUAUGACUACAAAUUAUACCCAUGUUGCAUGGGCGAGUAUAUAAUUCAUAAUUUAUUAUUUAUAAGUUAAAUUUCAAAAUUAUCAUAGUAUUUUUAGUAUAAUUGGAACAUCUAUUUAUAAGUAUUUUUUAGUAUUAAUAUAUGUUAUUAAUAGUAGUUUUAUUUUUUUCAACUAAUUAUAUUUAAGAGGAUAAUGAUAAAGUUUUUGUCUUGUAAUACAUGAUGAGUGUUUUUAGUAUUUGAAAUUGUUUAAUGAAAGAAGAGUAAUAGACCGUUAGUAUUAAUAUAUGCUAUUAAUAGUAGUUUUAUUUUUUUCAACUAAUUAUAUUUAAGAGUAUAAUGAUAAAGUUUUUGUCUUGUAAUACAUGAUGAGCGUUUUUAGUAUUUGAAAUUGUUUAAUGAAAGAAGAGUAAUAGACCUGCAUAGUUGUAGACUUAUAGAGUUCUAGUUGUAUAAGGAGAGUACUAAACCAAAAAGAACAUGACCAAACCAAAAAUUUGUACGACUACAAAUUAUACCAUGUUGGCUAAUUUUCAGAACAGAACUAAAACAGAUACUUUAACAAAAUUAAAAACAACACCGUAUUUAAUCAUAUUCUGUUAUUUUAAACCCUUUACUACGAUAAAGCUACAAAUGCUAACUUCAAAAGUCUAAAAAAAAUUUAAUAGCACAAAUUGAAGCUGGCGUAUGUAGUUCAUUUCUGUUUCAUUUCUUAUAUGAAUAUCAUCCUUUAAGUAUAUCAAACUUUCUUUUAAUUGAAAUGUCAAAUACUUCAGAAGAUGUCUUCUCGAACCAGGUAUUAGACACAACUUCAUAUUCAAAUCAUAUGCUCUUAUUAGUAUAUAUCAAGACUCCUUUCUUCUUUAUAUUAUAACAUAAGUUCGAACUUUGAAUGCCUUCAUAUCUUAACAUUUUUUGAAAUGUGAUAAUGAAAUUAUAAUGUUAUCGGUGCUCCGUUUUUGUUUCUUGUAAUCCUCCAACACCCGAAUAUUUCUCUCCUUUACGACAGUGAGUAGUGACGGCUUAUCAUUUCACAUCAUAAAGGUAACCUCCUUCCAGAAUGUAAGCUUCGCGGCACAGUACAAGUUGUACAGGAUUCCUUUUCAAGAUCUAUGCAAAUGAUUUCUGUAUUAUUCGAUCCAGCCGGAACUAUGGUGCAAAAAUAUAUCAUAUCGCGAUCAGUUGACAUGCCACAAGUAAAAUAGUUGUCCUUCAUUAAACGGAUAUUGUAAAAUUUUCAAAUAUUGAGAGUUCUUUAUGUUAUAUUGUUAUUUUCAAUUAUAUACUAGUGUCGAAAUUGGUCAAUUUUAUUAAAGAAAAUAAUUGGUCAAUUUUAUUACAAUAAAUUAAACAAAAUAGACAAUUUUGGACGAAUAAAGUAUUUUUCAAGUUUUUAGUCAAAUUAAACGAUCGUAAUACAGUAGAUUAGUAAAUACUUUUAUGAUUUGAAUUGGUAACUAUAAAAUAUUUUUGCACAAAUUUGAGAUGACAAUAUUCUUAGUAUUUCACAUUUUAUUAUUUAAUUAAUGGACAAAAUUUUAAACGAAACAACACACAACAACUAUACUAACUAAAAAUAUCAAUAAACAUAGUUUUUGGUGUCAUCUUAAUAUUGAACCGUUCUUCUUGAUCAUGGAUCGGGCUCACAAAAAUAUUGGAUUGUAACUCAACCAUCUUAUUUCUACUUGAACAAACAUAUAAAGUACUGAAUGACUUUGCAGGCCUACCGCACGUUCGGAUUUUGUAUGUUCCCGUCAACAUUUGCCUGCCAAACAUGUACUUGACACAUAUAUAAGAUGAAUCAAUCAUAAAAAUGCUAAUAAAUUUUAAUUUGAGACUCAGCCGGAUCCCAUAUUUAUGUGUUAAGUUAUCUCAAUCUUAUCGUGCAAUCAGGUUGAGAAUUUCAGAGAACGCUUCCGAAUCCAGACACCACUUCUAGUACUAGUAACCACAGUUGUUGAGGUUAUGGCAGAUCUUUGCGAUGUAGUCCUUGGCUUCACUUAGGAGAUGGACAGUUUGAUCACGCAUACUGGAUGGGCUCUACCUUCUGCUCCAACUUUUCAUAAGAUUCUUGAAGCUGCAAUGCAAAUUCAAGGCUCCAAACAACAUCACUCAUGCUAGGCCUAUCAAUCCGACAAUCCCUUGGUCUCUUAGAAAACUAUAUGCUAUCUCACCAAACUUGUUCAAACUCUCUACUGCAAUCUCAUCCAUUAAACUUGAAGUUGCCUUUCGUAUAACAAAUUCGAGCCCAUUCAGCUAAAUUCGCUUGCUCCACCGGUAACUCUGCCAUAAUCACUGGCCUAGCACACAACACUUCAAACAACACUACUCGAAAUGAGUAAACGUCUGAUUUGCAAGUUAUUUGCUUCCGUCGGUAAUAUUCGGGAUCCAAGUAUCCGAAACUACCCUUAACUAUUAUGUGCAACUGUUGGGUCACUGUAUCCCAUUUUGGACAAACCAAAAUCUGAAACCUUGGCAACCAUUUCCUCGUCCAACAAAAUAUUAGUUGACUUCACGUCACGAUGGAUUAUCACACGUUCUGUACCUGUAUGGAGAUGAUGCAAUCCUCUUGCCGCACCAAUGCAAAUUGUAGCCUUUGCUUCCACGACAACGGGGGAUUUUCCCCUGUAAAGAUGACUACUGAGAGUUCCGUGAGCCAUAUAAUCGUGCACCAGAAUCAUUUCUCCACCAUCAUUACAGUAUCCGAUCAGGGGUAAAAGAUGAAGGUGUCGCAAAAUUGAUAGCAUUUUAAUCUCUGUUUGAAACUCGUGAGAUCCUUGUCGUGAUGAUGGAUUCAACCUCUUGAUUGCUACAGGGCAUGUACCGUUCUCCAAAUACCCUUUGUACACGUUACCGAAUCCUCCUCUCCCAAUAACAAAAUUGUCAUCAAAGUUGCUAGUAGCUAAUUUUAUUUCUUCUGAAGAAAAUUUCUUGCUCCUAACAGACGGCAACGAUGAUAUGUUUGUGGGAGUUAAUUUGUUGUCACAGUCCAGAGUUUUUUGUCUUUUUCGGAUAUAUAAUAAAAAACCGACAAUCAACAAGAACAAGAUUAUACCGCCAAAUGAACCUCCCAUACAAGAGACCAUGAGUGGAGAGUGAGAGGCGCCACUCAUCUGGAUGCCUCCAGAUUUUUUUGUUUCUGAAGGAGGCGGUGCCACAAGUUCAAGAUUUGGUGCAGCAAGGCUACCACCGCUAAGCUUGAAAAUCUCCAACCCAUUCAAAAUUGUAUUAUGAUAUAGAGGUCCCAGCUUCUUGUAGGGUUGCAAGGUGAGCAACAAAUCUGGCUUAUACUUGCUACCAUAUUGGUUGGCACCAACAAAAACUUAUUUAGCUGGUUUCUUGAGAAUCUCGACCUAGCAAUUUAAUUGCAUUUUGGAUAUCAUUUUGGGAACGGAACACUUUAGAGAUGAAGGAUUGUACUUACAUUAUCUGUCCAUCCACUCUGUGGGAAAGUUAUUUAACUUAUUUAACAAGGUUCUUAGAGCAAUGAAGCCUGCUUCUUCUUUUUUUUUCUUUUUUGUAUUAGGACAGUGAUAAACAUUUGACUGUUUGAACAAUGGUAGAACCAGGCUUUGAACUUCAGAAUUUUCGCUUGCAGACAGGUCAAUGCUUAAUCGAAAAGGGAUACAACUAUGUCAUAGAUUUAGAUAGAACUAUUAUAGCACUGGGAUAUGAAUGUUAGACAAUGAACUUCCAGAACAGACUAAAGCUCAACAGAAACAACGUGCAUUAUCAACAUGAGAUUCAUGUUGGAAAAAAUCGCAUAUAUAAUUGUUUCUAGAAUUUGCUUAAGAUUGGUAAAGGAGAUUCACCUUAAGAGCAGACCUCCGUACUAAUUCAACCUCAUCCAAACAUCUACCUAAGAUGCUUUCCCAAUACAGCUGGACAAUCCCCCCACAUAUGUUAGUAUCACCUGCACCGGCAGCAACGGGCACACUUUGACCACCCUCUACAGAAUAAGCAACCUCAUUGUUGUCGGAAUUAUCUGUCCCCAUUCGACUUUCCGCAUCAAGAAGAUAUUCAUACAGAUUCUGCAAGGAUUGCAUCUGGAGAAGUAGAUUCUGAAUGUCAUGCCUUCCCUAACCCUUAUAACAUUAAUAAUGUGUGUGCGGUGUUUCUUUUCGUAAAGCCUGUACAGAUGCUAGGAAAAUAAACUUACCUUAAUUAAGACGAUGAACUGUACUGGAAGACAAUGUUGCCUCCAAAAUUUUUCCUAUAUCCUUCUCCAACAUGAAUUCAGGCCUGGAAACUAAAACAUAACCUAAUGCCUGAAAAGGUCAAAAAGCACAUGAUCAAAGGUAAUAACUACAUCAGGACUUCAAUGAGGGGAGAAUAGAGGCUCACUUGCAACGAUCUGAUCUUAAAAACAAAGUCUUCAGCGGUAAGAUACUUGUUGAAUAAGGUGACACUAUUUUUAACAUCUAAGUUUCUCUUGCUACUUCGCAAAGAGUUACCAUAACGAAUUAACAACCCCAGACAGAAAAGUGAGCGGCCCGCUUGCUGAAAUAAGGAGGGUAAAAGGAAAAACAGAUAUAUGUUAGAACAUGUAUAAAUGUCCAGGUCAAAAGCUGGAAAAAGGGAAGUACUUAUUAUAAGAAGGGUAAAAAGGAAAUCACAGCAAGAAGACACAGAUACAAUUCAAGGCCAAAACUUAUUCUAACAAUAAUAUGUGUUUAGUUGUAUCUCGGAUAAGCACCUAAGUAUCUGCAUAUCAUUUCUCGGUAAUACGUCUUGAUAACAUACGAAUCACAUAAUACUAAUUCACCUUUGUUGCACAUCUAAAAGAAAUGAGGGGGGUCAAUGCUCUUGAGAAAAUAAGUAAAAAAAUUAGUAAUAUAUUCGAAAUUUAUUAAGAAAGCACCAACCUGUUUAUUGUCGAAUCCUAGUGCAUCCAAUCGCUUGAAAAAAACAUGAAUAAGAUAUCCGACAACUCUUGCACCUUUUCCUGCUACUCUACUCACCGUGCAGAGGCACCUUACGAAUAGGGAAAGAGNCAAGAUGAUUUACGAUAAGUGAUGCAAAGAGAAAACUCUUUAACAGAUCAUGUUUUUCACAUCUUGCUAAUAACUUAUCUAGCUGCAAGAAACCGAAAAAUCCCUCCAAAUACGCAAGUGAUAGAGUGUAGAAAAUCUAAGGAAGGUAAUUACUUGAUGCAAGCAUGGACAAUAGUUAAGAAAGAACGUCGGACAAUCAUCUGUUUCAAAUCUUGCUCGAGCUCUUCAACAACAGCUUGAGGAAUCCUUGGAGCCAAGGGCAAAACAGAAUCAAUGGCAAACACUAUGCUUUCCAGCAGCUGCGCAACUCCUCGGCUAUCAGCCUGAACACAAGCAAACUGAGUUAAGUAUAAACAUAAAUUUAAUUGAAGUAUACAAUAGACAACUAUCUCCAUACUAAGAAUUGCAACGAUUUCUCUCACCAAAAUAAACAUCAAACCUGUACAAAUCAAAUAACAAUAUAAAGAAGCGACACUUCAACACAUGCAGUGAUACAGCACUUUUCUAACGAAUUCUUGGCAUAAAAAAAAAAAAGCAAUCAGCAAUAAGGCACAGCGAGCCUCCUCUUCCCCGAUAUAUUAAUUUGGCGAGCAUAGACACAAAAGGUGAAGUUAUAGGUUACUAUAAGGUAUAUAACAAUAUUAUUUCACAGCUUACUUUUAUAGUGCACUAAUAUUGUUCACUCCAGAAAGAAGGCAUAUGAUAUGAAGUUUAAUAUCCAGCCCACAAAAGUUCUGUCUAAAUAUUCAAAAUUUUGAAAAACUCAGAUAUCCAAUAUUUAUGUAUUCAAAAAACUUCCAAAUGUAUUCAAUUCAUUUAUUUAUAGCCGUAGCCCAUAAGUAACAUUUCUUACCUACCAACUACAACAAAUCCAUUUAAACUUGAGAAAAUAAAAUUUCGAUAUAACCUGACUCUUCAAGUACGGCUCUAGAGUGACAACGAACUGUGAAGGAUCUGAAGACGGUGCACAUAGUGCAGGAUCCACAGUACAAAAGGCAUGCAACAGAAGAACAUAAGGAAGCAGUUAAUGACGGUGAAAAAGUCAAGGGCCAAGUUACACUUAACGACGGUGACAAGCAGUUGAUUGUCUUUCAUCCUCCGCUGCAUCUCGACAAUCUGCUCGGUUUUCUUAGCUACUUCUAUUGGUACACAACUACCAUCUCCAAAAGACCGAGUCUGUGAGCUUGAAGAAUCGUCAAACCAAAAUUCAUAAAACGUCUUACAUACAAGAUCCUGUGGACCAAAAAAUUCAGACAAGAUCUUUAAAAAAAUAACACUGAACAGAAGGGAAAAUAUAAGUAGUUCUCAUUAGUUCAAGGCCAGAAUGCCUUUAUGACCCUACGUCAGGCAUCUUGUACUCCUGGCACAAUGAUAUUCAGUUUUGAACUCAUAAACCUCAAUGAAAUGUAAAAUAUUCCAAUUGACCUCUUUAAAGCCAUAAUAUACGAAACUCCAGCACCCUAACACCUUGUGACUUUUAUGUGAUCUAUGUGAUCUUAUCACAGACCAUACAUAUGGUAGUAAAAGUAGAUACUUCUGGCUAUAUGGUUUGAUUUUGACUGUAAAUCACAUAUAAAUUUGCAAUUCUGACCAAAUUGGCCAAAAAAGAGUUGAUUCCAUAUAAAAAGUACUAGUUGAUAGCCCGUGCCAAGCACGAGUUUAAAUAAAAUUUUAAAAUUUAUUAUUUUAUUAGAAGAAUUAUGUCUUUUUUAAUUACAUUAUCAUAUUUUAUUAUAUCUAUUUAAAUUAUUGUUUUUAAAUGAUAUUUAAAUUAUUGUUAUUUAAUAUAAGAUUUUUUAUAUAUUAAAAUUUGAUUAUACUGUAAAUUUAUUUCAUAACAAUAUGGGUCACUGUUCAAUGAGUCCACAAAAUAAGAGUAUUGGAGUCCAAAAUUAUUUAAAAAUAAUCUACUCGUUUCAAUUUUAAGUUUGGUGGUACUUUGGUAUCAAUAUCGAAGCUUAUUUAUUUUAGUUCUGUAAUAUUAUUGAAAUUUUAUAGAUUUGUUUCGUAAAUUAAAUUGUAUGAGUUUUAAAAAUUAAAACAAAUAUUUGACGUAUGUCCAGAGUUUCGGUUCUUUUUUAUUAUAUGUGGCAUAUGGACAAUGAUUUAUUUUUUUUAAAUUUCCAUUUGUCAAGUCAGUGUUACCACCGCCUUAUUCGUCUUUAUCGCAAUCUUCUAAAAAACACUGAAUGAUACUUGUUUAUUUUAAUUCUGAUAUAUGAUAGAUUUUUUAUAGAUUUGUUUCGUAAAUUAAAAUGUAUGAGUUUUAAAAAUUAAAACGAAUAUUUGACGUAUGUCCAGAGUUUCGAUUCUUUUAUUAUAUGUUGCAAUAUGGAUAAUGACUUCAUUUUUUAAGUUUCCAUUUGUCAAGUCAGUGUUACCACCGCCUUAUUCAUCUUUAUCGCAAUCUUCUGAAAAACAUUGAAUGAUAAUAAUUAUUUUUAUUAAAAAAUCUAUGACCAAAUUUUUUGGUACUUUGGUAUCAAUUUUGAAUCUUGUUUAUUUUAAUUCUGAAAUACGAUAGAAGUUUUAUAAAUUUAUUUCGUAAAUUAAAUUGUAUGAGUUUUAAAAAUUAAAACGAAUAAUUUCGUUGACAUUAUUAUUCUAUUAAUAGGAUAUUAUAUUAAUAUCAAUAUGAACACUUUAUUUAUUUGAACUCUGAAGCAUGAUAAAAGAUUUAUAGAGUUGUUAUGUAUAUUAAAUUAUUUGAGUUUUAAAAAAUUAAAAUAAAUAAUUUUGUUGGUAACAUAUAUUUAUUAGUAAGAUAAUUGUUAUAAUACAAAAUCCCGUCAAAUAUAGAAAUUUUUUGAUAAUAGUAAUAAUUGUUAAAUAAAAAUUAAUAUGAUGAUAGCCAAUUUUUGAUAUGAAUUUUAUAGAACUGUUUCAUAAGUUAAAUUGUUAGCGAUUUAACUGUGCGAAUAUGAUAAUGUUAUAUUACAAAAUCCUAAACACCAUAGAAGUCUUUUGAUAAUAAUAUAAUCAUCUUAACCAAUAUUGAAAUUUUUAUUAAUAAAAUCUGAAUCAAUAUAGAAGUCUUUUCAUAAUUGUAUAAUAAUAAUUAUAAAAUCCUAAAAAUGUAUAAUAAUAAGUAUAAAAUCCUAACAAUAUAAAAAUCUUUUCAUAAUUCUAUAAUGAUUGUUGUUAUUAAAUAAAAAAUUUAUAUUACAUUGUCCUAGUCAAUAUUGAAGUUUUUAAUAAUAAAAUUCUAAUCAAUACAAAAGUCUUUCACUGUACUAAUGAAUAUUGAGGUCUUUAAUAAUAAAAUUCUAUUCAAUAUAAAAGUCUUUUAAUAAUAAUAUAACAAUGACUAUAAAAUCCUAAUCAAUAUGAAAGUGACCAAAUUUUGGUACUUUUAGUACCGAUGUUCCACCGAAAAGUGGUUUGGCUUAUUAAUAAAGGGUAUUGAUGGUCUUAUGAUGAGUCCUACACAUGAUAUCAUGAUGAUAUGAGUACAAUGUGCUGAAGUUAGGGUUAAAAAGACCCGUAUCCGCUGCAUGGAAAUGUUUCUAGUAUUACCCAUCACUAAAACAGAUAAGCCUGACAUGAGAAAACUCCUUUAAAGGAGCAGAAGUUGCGAGAGUAGAGUAUGGACAACAUGAUACAUAAUAAAAUAAUUUGGUGCAGAACUAACUGAAUACUGGAUUCUUCAUCACAAAUACGGGAUAUAAUUAUAAUGCAAGCAUUAGUAAAUUCUGAGAAAUUUGGAUCUGCAGUGCACAUAUCCCUUGUAAAUUUGAUGGCUCGUUUCAGCACGCUCACUCCAGUAUCUUUUAUUCUCUCAGCAACCUUCUCGAAAUACUAAAAAACACAAGCAGAGAGUGAAGACAAAAUUAUUAUAUAGCGGAACCCAGUAUAUGAGGAUGUACAAUCCAAAUCAAUACCUUUACACCAAAAUCAGGAUGUGAGGUAAUAUAGCGACCAACAAGUUCAAGAGAUACUUCUCUAACAGAUAUAGAUGAAUCACAGAACCUGUCUUCAACUGCCGACUGGACAUGCUUAUCAGUUAUCACGCAAAACUUCUGGAUAUCAGCUUCAACAAUAACACUAACCUGCUCUCAUGAAACAAGGGAAACAUGAUGCCAAGUACAUCAAAUUUCUUGCAAAAAAUAGUAAUUAAUACUAUAACAACUGGUCUUGUAAUGCUUGAAGGGACUAGAAAGUUGGGCACACUCUACUUACUGCUCUUAAUGCCUUGGCACGAAUCACAGGAGAGUUCUCCCUUAAACUUGCCUGAAAUCAAGUAAGCAGUACAUAUUAGCAGGAACAUUAUGUAUUGGUAAUCAAGAUGCAACAGAAAAUAAACUGACCAGAAGCAUUUGAAGGAUUUUAUCAUACCCUCUGGAGAAAGAAUUGUUUUGGCCCAUGGCUAAAGUCAUCUGUGUUACUGAAUUUCUUUUCAAUACAGAAGAAACAGUCUUGCAGUCUCGCACAAGUGCUCUUGAUUUCAGUCGAGCAAGAAAGAAGAGUAACUUUUGUUGGCAAGUCAGGUCGUCUUUGUACCACGAGCAAAGAAAAAACCUGCACAUUAAUAAUCAGCAUGUUCAGCAAAAAUAGCCAACCGGGCUCAAAAUCCUGGAGGUGUUUUGUUUUACUAAAACACUAAUUUAUUAAUGUGCAAAAAAACAGGUCUUGGCAUGAGAAUAUCCUGGCAAAAUAGUAAGGUCCACUAAAAAUGCACACCAGCGGGUAAUGAGAUGCAUAUCAGAUGCAUAUCAACUGAAGCACCAGCAUCCUGGAGAUAAUUCAAAAGCAUCUGCUGAACAAUCUCCAUCUUUGCUAGGGGAUUCGAAAGCUUUAGUACUUCUCUUUUGCCAUCAUUCUUGCACUCUGAUUUACAGUACGAUUGUAAUGCAAGAAGUUGGUCCCUGCAAGCACAAAACUGACAGCAGCUGCCGACAGAUAUUUCAUCUUCUCUUAAUCCCAUGCACUCUGCAUGAAAUAAUCUCCGACAGCCUUGGCGUACAACUAAAGACUUCCCAGUCUUUGCACCCAAGCAAACAGAACAUGCAUCUUUCGGAUAGCUCUGACUCGUAUCAUCAUUCAUAAACUCUUUCACAGUCCAAAAAUUUUCCCUCCUACAUAGAACAGCAUCCUGUUUCAACCCGGCAGCAACUGUACCAAGGAGUUCAAUUGUCAUCGAACGAGCAGCAAUAUCCUUGGAUUUUAAACCAGCAUUCUGAAGUAGCAAAGCACCUGCAAGCAACUACAUCUUAGUAAACUAAAAAUAAUAUGCAUUUACAGGCAAGUCAACCAGGUGGCUGAUACCUCCAGAAUAAGAGCCGAAGCUGGAUACUCAGGCAAAUUCAGUGUCAUCAACAAAUCAGCUACAAGAUUAUCAAUCAUGUUUCUCAGCUCUGCAGCAUCAUGAUUUUUUGUACUAGUAAAUCUCUGAAGAACUCGAGUCCAGAAAAGACAACAUGCAUCUGUGACAGCCUCAUGUCACUUGCUAGGGUAAGAGGCAUCAAUUGAAGGCUCAAGAAGGAAUGAAGUGCUAUCAGACUCCCGUAAAGCAUCAGGAAGGUUGGCACUACAAUGAACCAACUGAAUCAAUAGAGCAGUUACCAUUUGAUUGGAUAAAUCCAAAUUAAAUUUGAUUUGAAUUCAGAUAUCUAAAAACCCAAUUGAAUGUAAAAUUCAGAUAUCUAAAAACCCAAUUGAAUUUGGAUUUGAUUAGGAGUCCUAUAAAUCCACCACAAUUCCCCUCGUGUUGCCUACACAUUCUCUUCCUCCCCUUUUUUUUCAUAGCUAAAGAUGGCGACUUGUCUACCCGAAGAGAUCACUUUUUACGAGAUUUUACUCCGACGAUCAACACUUUCUAUCAAGUGUUGGAUUCGUUUAACUUUAGUGUGCAAGCGUUGGCUUUCACUCAUUACAAAACCUGAAACAAUCAAUUCCCACCUCGUUCACUCUUUAUAUUUUAAUAAUACUUGUGAAUCCCCUUCUGUUGUUGCUCAUUAUUCCGGACGUCACACUUUCCCCGAAAUCAUCGUCUUGCCCAACAACAACUCAGUCUUCGAGUCAUUUAAGCUUAUGUAUUCGAGUUUUCGAGUAAUGUGUGUGUGGUGGAGGAAGGUGGUGGUGGAGAUUUUUGUAGGUGGAGGAGGAUAGUUAGUUGGAGUGGGGGUUGGUUAUUUAUGAGAGAAAGACAGACUCUUGAUAUGGUGGUUAAGUUUUGAAUUAUUUACCUCCAAUUUUUGUUUUGUUUACGAAAUAAUCGAAGAUAAUUAGCAAUUUAAGACAAUUAUGAUGUGAUCUAAGACAAUUAUGAUGUGAUUCAUGUGUUAUAGGAGAAAAGUGUGUGUUGAUAUACAAUACAGCAACAUGGUUUUGCCAGAGUUUUGAAUGGACUUUUGAAAGUAUUGUAAUUGCUUCUAAUACACUUUUAAUUUAUACUAAACUAGGUUUAAUUGUCGAGUAGGAUAAUGAUGUAGAUUAAGAGCUUUAACAAUGAUGUGAAUACAAUGGUGAUUUCUUUAUUCAUACGGCUUUUAUCUUUGCAUAAUCAACUUGAAUUCCUUGUUAGCUGAGCUGGUUUCAUACAACCUUGUCCUUGUGUUAUAAUGAAGGUUUUAUCAUAUAUUACACGUUAAUUAAUCAUGAUGAUUAGUACAAAUAAGUACCAAUUAUGAAAACAAGCUUACAAGCGAAAUAUACCAAAAGGAGAAAGGACAGUAAUAUUUUCUUCCUGUUUUUCUAUUAUCAUAUCUUCAUCCAAUAUGCACUCUGUACCAUGACAUAAUAAUUCUGAUAAACCUGGCAAUUUUUCAAGCUUUUGUACCAAUUAAAUCUGGUAAUGCCUUCAAACAGAUAUAGCCUAUAAUGCUCUCUUCAAAAACCUUGUACAAUACGGUCUAAACUCUGUAAGAUACUGCUCUAUAAUACUUUCAAAUGAUAAAUCAGAGACGGCCAACCUAAAAUAAUGCUCUACAAUACUUUCAAAUGAGAAUUGGACACUAGACCUCAGCAAUCCUUCAAUUCAGCAAGAAAUACUGUAAAGAUGAAAAAAAUGUCAUGUUCUGUUACGUAUUAAAAAAAAGAAAGGAGUAACUACUAUCUUGAGAUGGAAGAGGAUACUCUGUAAGCUUGAAACAUUAAUUUCUGCCAUUGAAAUCGCAAAGACAUAUCAAAUAAGAUCCACGACAAUUGCAAAGCCGUGUCAAAUAAGAUAGAUACUAAUUCAAGUUGCACGACAGCAGGGGCACAUAAAGAUUCAAUUUUACAUUGUUUAGAACUAGUGCAUAGCAACUCAGUUACAUCAAAAGAUCUAAUAAUCAUUCAACAUGGAAGCAAAAAGUUACAUGCAUGCAAUCUCUUAAGCAAUGGAAAUUUCAGCCAUUUCCUGUUCUACAACAGCUGGUCCGACAGGAUAGUACUUGUAGUGCAAUUCUCCAACAUCAUCACCAGACAAUUUCUUCCAUCCAUCAGGACCAACAUAAUAAACUGAUAAAUAGCACCAAAAUUAGACAAAUACUUGUGUUCCAGUAAUAAAAACAAAAAGAUCAGAAACAAACUAAGACCGAGGGGGGAGGGUGAGAGCUUACCGCUAGCAGUACCACCACUGGCUCCAUCACGAAAUGUUGCAUGAUAAAUGGAUCGCCGAGCCAAUUCUGCAGCCUCUUCUAUUGACAUAUCAUAGCGGUACCUACAAAUAAACGACCAAGAAGAGUACAUAUAUUGUAAGAUAACAGAAAAUUGCUCUGUUUAGAACGAAACUUGCAGUUCAGGGAAUGAUCACCCAAGAAAAAGUGAAUACAGUGAAGUAAUUAUGUCAGUUCAACUAGAGACUAGCAAAAUUGAGGAUAACUGGAAAAGCAUCCCCGUCAUCAUCCAUACAAAACAACAAGACUAACGACUACGGUAGCAUAUCAUAUUUGGUCAUGGAAAAAAACAUAACAGAACUACAGAAGUAAUCGUUUUUGCUUUUCAAUCCGUACAAGCAGUUACAAACCAUAAAUAAAAUUUCAAGUUGCAGUAGGAUGCAUACCCGCUGUCCAGUACACCAUAAGCAUAUGGUGAUCCAGAUCCAACAGAAAAUCUGUUUCCCUUUAGCCGUCCUCCUUCACUGUCCACGUAAUAAAGACCAGGGCCCUGUAAACCAACAAAUAAAAAGCAAUAAGUUACCCGCCACUCAUAAUUACCAAUCAGGGUUAAAACAAUUAAUAAUCAUUACCUUUUCAUCCCAAAUUAAUAAGCUACGUACAGUUCAAGAACAUUACCUUAAUACCCAAAUUUCUGUGCCAAAAUUGGCAAUCAGCAGCACCUCCAGCCAUAGUACCAAGCAUGUGGGGAUUAAUUUCAAUGAUUUUCUUCACUGAUUGUGAUGCUGUUACAAGAGAAAGGUAUAAUAUAAAUGCCACAUGAUCUGUGUUUUAAUAAUAUCAGACGUACAUUAACCCCUAUAGAAUAAAGUUUCCGAUGACACUCGUGAUCAAAGCUAUAUUGAUUUACACACCGACUAAAAAUUGUAUAUGGACAAAAAUUACAAGCACUAUCCAAUCCAGUAGAAAAAUACAUACAGAUAUAGCCUCCCAUGCUAGCACGAGAAUCAGCAGCCACAAUAACACCUUCCUUAAAGAUAAAAGCAAGAGUAGUGAUAACGCCAAUCUCCGAUCCCGGUCCUUCCUCCGCCGUGACUGGUGGUUCCGUGGUGUAGCUGCUGGAUGGGAGCCUACAAAACAACGCCGGCGGGGGGGUUUUGCCCCAAAGCGCCUCCGGCGUGAGAGUAAGCGUGGGCUUCGGAAGGAUAAAGAUUAGAGAAAGUGCUAUCUAUGUGUGGUGGGUGAAGGUGUUUGGCUGGUGGUUGCUGGUGGCUGAGAGUGUUUGAGUAUAUGCUGAGUGUAAGUGUGUGUAUGAAUGAGUGUAAAGAGAGAGUGAAGUUAACCCCCAGACUCUUGAUCCUUGGUCUAUUUAUAGGCCAAGGAUUAGGGUUCGGGGGUGCGUACCUGGAUCCUGGUCCUACACGUGUAGGGGUUUGAUCCCCUACACGUGUCCAGGUGUCGGCGUAGAAGUAGUCUUUUGGAAUGUUCCCUGGCUUGUCUCUAUCGCCAGUAGUUGACCGUUAUAUUUGUCUUCAUCGUGUCAGUCUGUGCCUUGUGCAGCAAGUGUCGGCUGGUACAGGUUUGGACCCCGGUCAAGGAGUAUGAUCCGGAUAUACGCCUGGUGUACCCGGGUCCUGUACCUUAUCCGGACGGCGUACUCUGGUAGGGUUGGUGGAUUGUACCCUACUCCUGGUGGCUUCCCGGGGAUCGGGGUCUUUGAGUAGGCCCGGGUUUGUGAACCCGGGUUACCCCUAUCAUUUGCCCCCCACUCCCUUAUAUAGAUUCUCUAUGUGAGGGAGUAGAGUGAAGUUUCCGCUUUUGUUUGAGUGGAUGAUCCGGAUAUACGCCUGGUGUACCCGGGUCCUGUACCUUAUCCGGACGGCGUACUCUGGUAGGGUUGGUGGAUUGUACCCUACUCCUGGUGGCUUCCCGGGGAUCGGGGUCUUUGAGUAGGCCCGGGUUUGUGAACCCGGGUUACCCCUAUCAUUUGCCCCCCACUCCCUUAUAUAGAUUCUCUAUGUGAGGGAGUAGAGUGAAGUUUCCGCUUUUGUUUGAGUGGGCCCGGGUAGAUGUGAAGUUUUGAUGUUUGCCCCCCUGUCCGGGUAGAUCCGGGUAAGGGUGGAGGUUUGUCGGUGUCGCUUUGCUCGGGUAGACCCGGGGGUUUGUUUUGCUUUUCUGCCAGGGAGAGUCCGGGUCCUUAGGGAGAUCCGUCCGGGUUGUCCCGUGAGAAUGAAGCGUUUUCGGUACGCUGGAAUUUCGAGGGGUUUUGUAACCGCAUCCAACGCUUUGGAAUUUGAAUCGUCGCGGCUUUUGAGGAGGCGUUUAAUUAUUACAGCAGUAAUAAUUAAAACUGAAUGCCCAGUAAUACGUCGCCACGUGGCCUACGUUGUGGCUAUAAGUACGGCCAUUUCUUUUAGUUUCCAGUUUUCACUCUUGCUUUCGUCUUUUCUCCUUUACUUUCAAAGAAUCGUUCUCUCGCCUGUGUUCUUCGAGUUGCUGGAGAUUUCGAGUUUUCUUCGAGGGUUUUUGUCGCCGUUGCUCGCUUUCUUUUCGGUUUUCUUUCAGGUAAGUUUCCCCUCCUCUCUUUUCUCUGCACUUUCGUCUUUCCAUGUAUGAAGCUAUUCGUGUGAAGUUUAUUUUUUCGAAAUGUUUGCUUUUGGUUUGUUGAUCGUUGCGUAGAUGAUUUUGUAUGCCGUCUAUGAAUCGUAUGCGUAUUUGUGGAGUGUUUCGCGAUUUGGCAUGUGUUUGGUUCGAGUUUGCUUUGCGGUUGUGUUUUGGUUUCGGGGUUUUGUAUUUCGGAGGUUUGGAGAUCUGGGUUUUGGGUUUUGAAUAUUCUUGGCUGUGUGUAUGUAUGUAUAGUUGUAUAAUUUAGUGGGUUUUGGGUUUGAUCUUUGAUUUUGGUUUGGAAUGUGUUAGGAUCUGUUUGUGUCUGUUGGGUUUUUCGGGGGUUUGAACUGAACCCGGGUAUGGCAGUUGUGCCCGGGUUGGGUAAUUUUGGGACUUAGCCGUUUUGUAGGUUGUGUGCAGUGUUGCGGAGGGAAGGGUUCGCGACCCGGGUACAUAUGUUAGGUCCGGGUAGGGCCUUUGGGUGUUUUGUUUCGUACUUAGGAGAAUGUUUUGCGCUGUAGUAUGUACACGGGACCCGGGUGUCUUCCUAGUAUGUUGUAUCCUUUCCCCCCAUGUAAAUUUGAAGAAGGACAUGGCCCGGGUAGGUUCAUAGGAUUUCUGUGUGUUUUCCUGGUGUAUCCGUGUAGCUUUAGUAGUGUUGUGGUAGUCUUUAUUCUUUGUAUUGCUGUAGUAUAUGUCGGACCCGGGUAGCUCUUUUCAUGUUGUACUUUGUUUUUUGCUUCUCCUUUGGUAUGUUUUCCACAUAGAAUUAGGCUGGGAUCCGGACCUAAAUAAAACUUGCAACAACUUGUGUGAAUUUUCUUCCUUUAAAAUUGACCCGGAUUGCUUCUUUAUUUAGGUCUAUGGUCCGGAUCCCUUCGGUGGUUUUUGAAGAGUCUUCCAGUGAUAGUGAAUCGGACGGGUUUCACGCCCUUGCUCAUCGUGCCCGGGUCCGCCUCUCUAAAAGGCCAAGACAAGAGAUUGUUGCUUAUUCGGCCGUCCCCGGGGAGUUUUCUAGCGACACAGAGUGUGACGAGGUCCAGACUUUAUCUCAUCGUGUCCGGAUUAAGAUGGCAGAGAGAGAAAUUGAGGAGUCCGGGGUUAUUUCCGCGCGUCAGGAUGUAGUGAUCUCGACCGGUCGACAAGUAAUAAUGACCCCAGAGGGCAUGUGGGGAAACGGUAGGUCGUAUUUUGUCACCAAAGGUCCGCUGGUGGAGGAGAAAGGUUUCUAUACCAAUAUGUCUGGUUUUUAUAGAUGCAAGCAUCCGAACGGACGUUUGGCUCCCUACAACAAAGAGGAGUUCGAUGAGAAUUUCCGGGAGUUGACUGGGAUCCGGGUUCCGUUCCCGUUGAAGAAUCAUAUCAGGGAGAUGUCUCCGGAUGCGGCUGACCGGAUGAUCCGGGCGGCUUUUCAGCUGCCUUCUGAGAUCGAAUGGAGAUGGCCUGAACCCGGCGAAAUGAUCUAUCAUCGUCCGGCCGACGGUUUCGUUCCAGUGUGGAUGGAGCAUCUCAGGUCCGGGUGGAAUCCCCGGUGGCAUGUUUUCUUCAAACAUCUGUGUAAAUAUGAGUGGAGGAUCUCGCCGAUGCAGUUGACGCCGAAUGCGGUCAAGUGGAUGACCUGGUUCCUGUGGGCGUGCAACAAGAUGAAUUAUUACCCGACGCUGAAACUUUUCCACAUGUUGUUUCAAUUUAAGAAAUCUGGGGUAAGGCCUUUGUAUGAGUUGCGCUUCCGGUCGAAGGAGUGUGGUUUGGGCUCCGGGUUCAUAAGCCCGGUUAUCCAUCAAAGCUCGCUGAAGGGAUGGAAUGGCGAGGUAAUUAUGUUGAAGGGCUUGGAUUUGGCUUUUAUGCCUUAUAUCGAGACAGAUGACGAGAAAGUGAGGACGGACUUCGGUGCGCCCGGGGCGGCUGGGGAGUUCCGGGCCCAGUUGGUCGAGUUCUGUAAUUGCCUAGGAUUUCAAUUGACUCGGGAUACAUUUAUGCGUCACGAUCAAUUGCAUGAGGGUGGCUGUAAGUUGCAUUUUGUUUUUGGUUCCGCUUUCGUAGUAUCUUGUCCGGGUCUCCUUGUUUGUAGUGUGCAUGUUGCUAUCUUGUCCGGGUCCUUUUGUUUGCAAUCUGCAUGUUCCUUAGGAUAUUUUAUUGUGGCAUUUUUCUUUGUAUGAUUUGUCGUAUUGUUCCCUUAUUGACCCGGGUUCUCUUGACUCUUGGCAGGUCUUCCCUACUUCGACCCGGAUCUUUGGAGAGCUAUGUCUGCCAACGACUCUUUUGCUGCUGCCUUGAGGAACUUGGGGGGAGUGCAUACCCUUCCAAAGCCGCAGCCAAAAGUUAAGUCGGCAAAGAAGAAGGGGGUCGCGAAGAGAGGGGAGUCCGGGUCUUCCCGUCAGGAGUCCGGGUGCUGAUGCUGAUCCGGGCUCUUCCUCUGAUUCUGAACCGGUUGAUGAGACUCCUGUUGACGAGACCCGGGGUGAUGAGACUCCUGCUGCCUGAUCUCCUUCUCUUUCUAGUUUGUUCAUAUGUUGACUCAAGAACAAUGUUUUUGUAAGACUGAAUUCGUUGGAUCUGGAUUUGGAUGUUUGUCCGGGGUUUAUGUAGACCCGGAUUUAUGGAUGGUUGUCCUUGCUGUUUCUUAUCAAAUAUUUUGUUGUCAUAUUUGUUUGUGAAUGCUUUCGUUUGCUUUGUAUAUUGUUUUAUCCAGGUGGGGAUAAUACAGGUGUACUCGGGUAAUUCUUACCCGGGUUGAUUGCUUAGAAUAGGUUUAUACUUAGAAAAAUCUUAGAAAUUUUUCUAAGUAAAUAAAAUGGAUGGACCCGGGCAAUUCCUACCCGGGUUGAUUGCUUCAUAUGUGUUUGCACUUAGAAAAUUUUUCUAAGUAAAUAAAAUAGAUGGUCCCGGGCAAUUCUUAUCCGGGUUGAUUGCUUCAUAUGUGUUUGCACUUAGAAAAUUUUUCUAAGUAAAUAAAAUAGAUGGACCCGGGCAAUUCUUACCCGGGUUGUUUGCUUCAUAUGUUUUUGCACUUAGAAAAUUUUUCUAAGUAAAUAAAAUAGAUGGUCCCGGGCAAUUCUUACCCGGGUUGAUUGCUUCAUAUGUGUUUGCACUUAGAGAAUUUUUCUAAGUAAAUAAAAUGGAUGGACCCGGGCAAUUCUUACCCGGGUUGUUUGCUUCAUAUGUUUUUGCACUUAGAAAAUUUUUCUAAGUAAAUAAAAUGGAUGGACCCGGGCCAUUCUUACCCGGGUUGAUUGCUUCAAAUGUUUUUGCACUUAGAAAAUUUUUCUAAGUAAAUAAAAUGGAUGGACCCGGGCAAUUCUUGCCCGGGUUGUUUGCUUCAUAUGUUUUUGCACUUAGAAAAUUUUUCUAAGUAAAUAAAAUGGAUGGACCCGGGCAAUUCUUACCCGGGUUGAUUGCUUCAUAUGUUUUUGGUUGCCUUAGAAAUUUUCUAAGUAAGAUAACAGGUGAAAUUCAUUAGUAGCAAAAGACUUCAUUGAUUUCAUUGAUAUUCAGGAGAUUAUACAGCUUUGAUAGUGAUCAAAAGUACAUGAUUGCUUUUAGGUAUAUAUAGCUGUCUUCUAGGAUCCUUCCUUCUUGAUUUUACUGAUAGAACUUCCUCAACCUAAGACCAUGCCAGGUGUUGGAUACUUCUAACCCAUCCAUAUGCUCCAAUUUGUAGGUGCCCGGCCUUAGGACUUCUCUGACUUUGUAAGGGCCUUCCCACUUAGGCAUUAGCUUUCCUGUGUUAGUUGGAUCUGAGGCUUCGGUGUCUCGUAGGACCAGGUCCCCUGCUUGAAAAUUUCUAACCCGGGAUUUCUUGCUGAAGUGGUCCCGGGUCUUCUCUUUGUACUUUUCCAUUCUUGCGAUUGCCUGAUCUCGGACCUCAUCUACCAAGUCCAGGUUGACCCGGAGUCCUUCCUCGUUUGCAAUUUCGUCGAAGUUGAUUACUCUGUGGGAAGGUGACCCGACUUCGAUUGGGAGCAUUGCCUCCGUUCCAUAGGCCAACUUGAAAGGGGUUUCUCCGGUGCUUGUCCGGGGACUGGUUCGGUAUGACCAAAGGACAUGAGGUAGUUCUUCUGGCCAUUUGCUCUUGCUUUCUUCAAGUCUCUUCUCAAUUCCUCUCAGGAGGAUCCGGUUGGUGACCUCUACCUGGCCAUUUCCUUGAGGAUAGGCGACUGAAGACUUCUUGUGCUUGAUGCCUCUUUCGGCCAGGUAGCUUUCAAAGUCCGACCCGAUGAACUGGGGUCCAUUAUCUGAGACCAGGACUCUUGGUAGCCCGAAUCUCAUCAGGAUGUUGUCCAUGAACCGGAUGACAUCUUGUUGAUUGAUCGUCCGCAUUGCCUUGGCCUCAACCCACUUGGUCAUAUAAUCAAUGGAGACAAGCAAGUAUCUGAGGUCUCCUUUAGCCCGGGGGAAGGGUCCCAUGAUGUCUAUCCCCCAUACAGCAAAGGGGAUCGGGGAUAAGACCGAGGAGGGUAGGACGGGGCUUACCCGGGGCACGUUGCUGAAUAGCUGGCAAUUUUUGCACUUCUUAACAAACUCGACGGAGUCUUGAUGAAUUGUUGGCCAGUAGUAGCCUUGCCGGAUGAUUUUAUAGGCCAGGCUUUUUGCCGACAUGUGAUCUCCACAGAUCCCUUCGUGAACUUCCCUCAGACAGUAUUCGGCUUCCUCCGGACCUAUGCAUUUCAGGAUUGGGGAUGAGUAGGUCCGGCGGAAGAGGAUCCCGCCUUCUACGAAAAACUUUGCUGCCUUAGCUUUUAGUCUUUGAGCUUUUCCCUUGUCCUCGGGUAACUCUCCUUUUUCUAUGUAGUUGAUCAGGGGAGUCAUCCAGGUAGGGUCGUUGUUGAUUUCAAAGAUUUCUUCCUGCUCUAUUGUGGGUUUGUGCAACUCUUCGAAAUACACUGAGCUAUCCAGGUCUGCUGAAUUUUGGACCAACCUGGAGAGGUUGUCUGCCUCCGCGUUUUCUUCCCUGCUGACUUGCAAGAUUUUGUACCCGGGGAUCAGGGUAAGGUAGCUUUUCACCAAGGCUUGAUACCUGGUCAGAAUUGGGUCUUUGGCGAGGUAUUCCCCGUUUGUCUGCCUGACCACAAUUUGUGAGUCGCUGUAAAUGGUCAGGUUUUGGAUAGACAGGGUCCGGACUAAUUUCAACCCUGCUAGAAGAGCUUCGUAUUCCGCUUGGUUGUUGGUUGCUGCGAAACCGAAGGAGAUUGCUGUUUUGAUUGUGAACCCAUCCGGGCUUUUCAGGAUUAGCCCGGCUCCUGACCUUUCGGUUGUUGAGGAGCCGUCAACAUGGAGUGUCCAAGACCCCGGGUUUGACUCUACCGGGGCUUCUGGUUCAGUUUCCAUGGGAGUUGAUUGGUUUUCUGGGAAGUUGCAUUCCACCACGAAGUCUGCCAGGACCUGGGCUUUGACCGCUGUCCGGGGUAGGAAGGUUAGGCUGAACUGGCUAAGUUCAAUUGCCCAGUUGACUAGUCUCCCGGAGAUGUCUGGCUUGUGAAUGAUUUUCCUUAGGGGCUGGUCGGUGACAAUCCUGAUCUCUCUUCCUUGAAAGUAGUGUCUGAGUUUCCUGGAUGCGGUGAUCGGUGCGAAAGCAAACUUCUCUAAGUUGGGGUAUCUGGUCUCCGCAUCUUUGAGGACCUGGCUGACAUAGUAGACAGGCUUCUGCUGCCCAGCUUCUUCCCUGAUCAAAGCCGCCCCGACGGCAAAGGGUCCGGCUGACAGGUAUAGGUAGAGGGGUUCUCCGGGCAAGGCUUUUGUCAGGAUCGGGGGCUUGGACAGGUAUGCUUUUAUUUCAUCAAGAGCUCUCUGGCAAUCCGGGCUCCAUUCUACCAUCUUCUGAUUUUUUGCCCCUUUUAACAACUCAAAGAACGGUAGACAUCUUUCAGCGAGUUUGGAAACAAACCUUCGAAGUGCUGCUAAAGACCCUGCUAGCUUUUGGACUUCUCUCUGAGUCCGAGGUGGUUGCAUCUCUUGUACAGCUUUGAUCUUCUCCGGGUUAGCCUCGAUACCCCGGUUGCUUACCAUGAAACCCAAAAACUUUCCAGCCUCUACCCCAAAGGUGCACUUGUCCGGAUUGAGCUUUAGCUUAGUUCUUCUCAUGUUUUCAAAACAUUCUUUGAGAUCAGAAAUGUGACCCGGGACCGAAGUGGAUUUGGAGAUGAUGUCGUCGACGUAGCAUUCCAAAUUCUUUCCAAGUUGAUCCUUGAAAAUUUCAUUCAUUGCCUUCUGGUAUGUAGACCCGGCGUUCCUUAACCCGAAAGGCAUCAGUUUGUAGGCAUAUACUGCUCUGUGGGUUAUGAAAGCUGUUUUGGCUAUGUCUGCUGGGUUCAUCUUAACCUGAUUGUACCCGGAGAAGGCGUCCAUAAAGCUUAACAUCAGGUGUCCUGACGUGGCAUCAAUGAGCUGAUCGAUGCUCGGUAGAGGAUAAGGGUCCUUGGGGCAUGCUGCAUUCAGAUCCGUGUAGUCGACACACAUCCUCCACUUGCCGUUUGCUUUCUUUACCAUGACUACGUUAGCUAGCCACUCCGGGUAUUUGAUCUCGCAGAUGAUAUCUGCCUUCAUUAACUUGCCAACUUCCUCAUCUAUUGCCUUCUGCCUUUCUGGUGCGAAAUUUCUUCGUUUUUGUUUGACUGGUUUCUUCUCGGGGUCCACAUCCAGGCUGUGCAUUGCUAGUGACUCGUCCAACCCGGGCAUGUCGUCCGGGCUCCAGGCAAAAACAUCUGCGUAGCUCCGAAGUAGUUGGAUGAGUUCUUCUUUAAAGACGGUAUCCAAGCCUUUUCCAAUUUUGAUUUUCCUUGUCGGGUUGUCUUUUUCGAUCAGGACCGAUUCGGUCUCGACCGCAGCUUCGACCUUGGUUAGUUCUUGUGCCGAGAUCAUUUGCUGGAUCCGGGCGUCAGUGUUCUUUUCCACAAAAUGUUGAGCUGAGCUCAUGGUUGCUUUCUGGUUGCUUUGUCCAGGACCAGGAUUGGUGGCUCCCGGGUUGGUGUUACCCGGGUCAAGUUCGAUCACCUGGACUUCUCCUUUGGGAUUUGUUUUCGGGUAAGGUCGGUGUUUUUUGUUGCUCUUCUGUUUUUGAAAAACGGUUGCCUUUCUCUUGUUGUCCAGGUGUGUUUCUGCCAUGACCAAAGCUUGGCUAUAACAUACCCCGGCUGUCGCCGAGUCUCCUUUGACUUCUCCUACCCCGAACGGGGUGGGGAAUUUGAACUUCAGGUGUGGAAUGGAUGUGAUAGCUUCGAUCUUGUUCAGACCUGGGCGGCCGAUGAUCACGUUGUAAGGUGAGGGUGUAUCUGUGACAUAGAAUUUGAUGGUAUGAGUGACUUGGUUCGGAAGGGUUCCGAAUCGGACCGGGAGAUAGAGUGUGCCAAGGACCGGGACAAUGCUAUUCCCGAACCCAUAUAGAGGAUCCUCCCUGUAGUCGUUCAUCCGGAUACUCCCGAGCUCCAUUCGGUCCAUGGUGUGUUUGAACAAGAUGUUGGCCGAGGAGCCGUUGUCCACCAGGAUCCUCCUUACUUCAUUUUCGGCCAUGUCAAGGGUCACUACCAGGGCUUGAUUGUGACCCCGGGUGACUCCUUCAAAGUCCUUGUUGCUGAAGGAAAUCACUUGUUCGGGGAAGGCUUGGAUGGACAUCACUUCUUGACAGGAGCCCGGGCUAGGGGGAGGUGAACAGGAUCCUCCUAGCACUACGUUGACAAUGUUUUUCUGUUUCCCGGAUCCCCCUGUUUUGUCGGCUGUAUUCCGGGCUAUAUAUUGCCCCAUGUUUCCUUUGCUGAUCUGUUCUUCAAUGAAGUACUUGAGGGAUAUGCAAUUUUCAGUUUUAUGACCAUGGGUACCAUGGUAAUCACAGUGCCUGUUGGUGGGCCUGCUUUCAGGAGGAGUUUGCAUGGGUUUUGGUGGGUAGUAGAAGGGUUUGUCCCGGACCUCUUUGAGUAUGUCCCCGCGGGACCUGUUUAGAGGAGUCCAUUCGGGCUCUGGUUUUGGUUCCCUGGUUGCUUUGUUCGGACCGGGGUCACUUCUGGACCCGGAUCCCUGUUGGCUGGUUCUCUUGGAACCUGAUUGCUGGAUGAAGUUUGUCUGUCUGUCCGGUUUGAAUUUCUUAUCCUGGUGAUAUUCUUUCCGGGGUCUAUCCUCGACCUGUUUUCCUCUUGAGCUGCCCUGUCUGGUCAUUCUCAUGGCUUGAAGUACGUCGGUUUCUUUGAUGAAUUUUGCAGCCAUGGCAUAAGCGGCCGCCAGGCUCUGGGGUUCUUUGUUGAUCAACUCGACAACAUAUCUCUCAUUUUGUUCCGGGUCUAGGUUUCUUCUGAAAAUGCUCAAAGCCUCACGCUCGUCGAGAUUGGAGAUUUUGUUGAUUGCUUCCUGGAAACGUUUCAUGUAAUCUGAGAGUGCCUCAUUGUCAUACUGACGAACCGUUUCCAGGUGACACAUAUGAAGUUCAUGUGUCUUGUUUGCUCGGAACCUUCUGAGGAAGGCUUCCCUGAAGUCUUUCCAAGACCCGAUGCUCCGGGAGGGGAUCCGGCUGAACCAUCUCUGGGCCCCUCCCUUGAAGGUGGACGCGAAGAAGCGACAUUUGGUUAGAUCAUUGUACCAGUAAAUUUGGGCUAUCUGUUCAAAGUAGUGCAGGUGUUCCUCCGGGUCUCCCAGUCCAUUGNNNNNNNNNNNNNNNNNNNNNNNNNNNNNNNNNNNNNNNNNNNNNNNNNNNNNNNNNNNNNNNNNNNNNNNNNNNNNNNNNNNNNNNNNNNNNNNNNNNNNNNNNNNNNNNNNNNNNNNNNNNNNNNNNNNNNNNNNNNNNNNNNNNNNNNNNNNNNNNNNNNNNNNNNNNNNNNNNNNNNNNNNNNNNNNNNNNNNNNNNNNNNNNNNNNNNNNNNNNNNNNNNNNNNNNNNNNNNNNNNNNNNNNNNNNNNNNNNNNNNNNNNNNNNNNNNNNNNNNNNNNNNNNNNNNNNNNNNNNNNNNNNNNNNNNNNNNNNNNNNNNNNNNNNNNNNNNNNNNNNNNNNNNNNNNNUGCAGCUGCUGGAUGGGGGCCUACAAAACAACGCCGGCGGGGGGUUUUGCCCCGAAGCGCCUCCGGCGUGAGAGUAAGCGUAGGUUUCGGAAGGAUAAAGAUUAGAGAAAGUGCUAUCUAUGUGUGGUGGGUGAAGGUGUAUGUGUGAUGGUUGCUGGUGGCUGAUGGCUGAGAGUGUUUGAGUAUAUGCUGAGUGUAAGUGUGUGUAUGAAUGAGUGUAAAGAGAGUCAAGUUUUUCCCCAGACUCUUGAUCCUUGGUCUAUUUAUAGGCCAAGGAUUAGGGUUCGGGGGUGCGUACCUGGAUCCUGGUCCUACACGUGUAGGGGUUUGAUCCCCUACACGUGUCCAGGUGUCGGCGUAGAAGUAGUCUUUUGGAAUGUUCCCUGGCUUGUCUCUAUCGCCAGUAGUUGACCGUUAUAUUUGUCUUCAUCGUGUCAGUCUGUGCCUUGUGCAGCAAGUGUCGGCUGGUACAGGUUUGGACCCCGGUCAAGGAGUAUGAUCCGGAUAUACGCCUGGUGUACCCGGGUCCUGUACCUUAUCCGGACGGCGUACUCUGGUAGGGUUGGUGGAUUGUACCCUACUCCUGGUGGCUUCCCGGGGAUCGGGGUCUUUGAGUAGGCCCGGGUUUGUGAACCCGGGUUACCCCUAUCAAGUAGUUGUUCCCUUUGCUGGUUUCACCAUCUGGAUAGCCUCCUUCUGGAACCCAUCGAACUGAAACAAACAGAACAACAAUAUAAGUCACAAUUCUAUAAUGACAAUUUCUAAGAGCAAGUCCAAUGGUGAUGUUAAAAUAGAUGUAGCUAUUGUUAUAAUUUGAAACCAAAAAGUGGUUUUUGGUGUUAAAAUAGAACUUAUAGUCCAAUGGUAAAUGCAAAAUAGAACCAAACAUAUCCAAAUAAAGCUAUAUUCUAAUUACAUAAUCUUAAAGUACAUAAUUAUAUUUGUCACUAUUACUUUAUUAAUGCAUUUUGUCACUUGCAUGCUUAUGUGGCAAUUAUAGCACCAUCUAUACUUGGUUCUAUAUUUAGCACCAAGUAUAGCAUUUUGCUAUUCUAUAUUCAAGUUUAGCAUCUCAUUGGAGUUUGAGUUUUUUGCUUGGAUGCUAUAUUAUAGCAAUAGCACCUACUUUAACACCACCAUUGGACUUGCUCUAACAUGUAAACCAGGAAAAUCAAACCCACAUCAAGCGUAUCAGGAAGCUGGAACGACGGAGUUCUUAGAAAGCUCUCGCACAAGUCAGAGUCAGCUCCGCAAAACGAGGCAGGAGAUUCGAGUCCACUAAAAUCAAUUCUCUUCAUUGCUUAAUCUGCAGUUACACAGAUAAAUCGCAGUUGUUAUCCAUCCACUACAUCAAAAAAACAUCAAGCACAAAAGCCACACAUUAUUCCCAACACCUAACUACAUAACAUAUCCACCUCAUAAUCCGCAAUCAUUUACAACAUACAUCGAAACCUCUAACCUAAACCUUCUGCCUGUCCCCCAGCUCAAAUCACUCUCCAAAGCAAUUUCCUAAACCUCUAACCUAAACCUUCUGUCUGUCCCCCAGCUCGAAUCAACCGACCAAAAUUUUUUGUGUUUCGGUUUUUAUAUAUUAUAUUACUACAAAUAUGUGUAUAUGCAUAUGUUAUUCGACGAUGAUGUCUUUUUUAUUGAUUUAAUGAAUUUACCUAAAAAAUUUUAGAGACUAUAAAAUGAAGAAUUGUAUCUUGAAAUUAUUAAGUAUUGUGUCAAUUUUUUUGAUGCAUAAGACUAUAAGUUAAAUUUUAAAUUUAAUAAUAUUCAAGUUCAGAAAAAAAUCUUAAAAAAUAUACUUAUAAUGUUACUAAUUUUUUGAAAUUUGGGUUUUAGAUAAAUCCAAAUUAAAUUUGAUUUGAAUUCAGAUAUCUAAAAACCCAAUUGAAUUUGGAUUUGAUUAGGAGUCCUAUAAAUCCACCAUAAUUCCCCUCUUGUUGCCUACACAUUCUCUUCCUCCCUUUUUUUUUCAUAGCUAAGGAUGGCGACUUGUCUACCCGAAGAGAUCACUUUUUACGAGAUUUUACUCCGACGAUCAACACUUUCUAUCAAGUGUUGGAUUCGUUUAACUUUAGUAUGCAAGCGUUGGCUUUCACUCAUCACAAAACCUGGACCAAUCAAUUCCCACCUCGUUCACUCUUUAUAUCUUAAUAAUACUUGUGAAUCCCCUUCUGUUGUUGCUCAUUAUUCCGGACGUCACACUUUCCCCGAAAUCAUCGUCUUGCCCAACAACAACUCAGUCUUUUACAAAUUUAAGGAUUCUGUAGUUAAAAUCUGUGUCCAAAUCUUUGGCUUUGAUCCCUCCUUUCUUCAAGUUGAAUCAUAUCGCCAUGCAGCAGGUGCACUGCAUGUUAAACUAAUAGAUUCAGUAAAUGGUCUUGUCUGUUUCUCUCAUGCAUAUGCGCAACGCGUGCUUUUUAUUUGGAAUCCGGUAACCAAUCUCUUCACAACUGUUUACAAACCGUCUGUUGUUUCAAGUGCAACAAUCCUUAAUGAAGACUCUGUAUUCUAUUAUGACCCGGUGAAAGGAGAUGUGAAGAUUAUGCACAUUGAACUUUUGUGUUGGAUGGAAAACACGAAUUCAAUUCGAGUUCAUGUGUACUCUUUCAACGCUGAGGUUUGGAAAGAAAUUAAAGACGACACACUUCCCAGGACACAGUUUAAAAUCAUGCGCACUGUCAAGCGUAGGCCUGGUUACACUUAUGUGCAAUUUGGUUCGUCUGAGUUGGUGGCCUUUGAUUUUAAUAACGAGGUGUUCAAGCGCUUGCCUUAUUUUCCUAGUGAUAGUACCAUUAACUGGAUGGGCUCUCUUUGUAAAGUAAGGCUUAAUUACCCAGAACAAGUCGUAUAUGCUUUGGAUGGAAGUAAUGCUACUUGGAUGGAAAAAUGCAUUGUUCGUUAUUCCCCCGAAGCGGACAAGUUAAGACUAAGACUAAGACUAAGUUUGAGCAAUGGUGACAUGGUAGUUGAAGAUAAGUACGGGACUCCGUUGUGGUCCGAAGCUGAAGCUGAUCAACGUAGCAGGCCUACUAAUUUAAUAUCUGAAACGAGUGGACGCUACUAUGAUAUUACUCCCUACACAGAAAGCCUACUUUGCGUCAAGGGGAUGCAGGACCUUAAUAAAAAGAUGAAAACCAGAAGAGAAGUAUGUAAUUUGAGGAAGAAAAUAACAAGAUAAUUUGGUUGUGGUUUGUAAUGAGAAAUCUUAAUUUUAUAAUUUGCUUUUCUUUAAGCACGCCAUUAUUGUAGUUUCUUGUUUGCUUCUGAUCAUCAACUGAUUUUAUGUUGCUUCUGGUAUGAUUCAUUAUUAACUAAGUCAUGACAAUCUCUGUCUAAUGAGUAACACUGUUGCUUCUCAUUAUUUACUAAUAAUGUUAGCUACUAAAUGGGAGCCAGUAUUUUUGGCUCGGAAACAGAGUUUAUGUUUUAGUUAGGAAACUGAAAUACUCAUCAAAAUCUAUUUAAUGGGAGUUGGAACAUGAACAUUGGUAAGAAUAUACAAAUAAACUACUUCUUACUAAAUUUAGUAAGAAGCUAAUAGUCAAGUAUAAGAAUAAAUAUAUUAUUAAAAGAGUUCAGGUAAAAAUCAUUUAUAUUUUAGGUAAUAAUAAUUUAUAACUUCAAAUUUAUAGUUAGUAAGAUCGGAAAUAACUCUUGAGUUCAAAAAUAAUGGUGAUAUCUGAGAAACAUGAUGAUAUUCGAUAAUAAAAUGAUAAAAUUAUUUAUAGAUAAGAAGGCCGGGAGAAUACGUGAAAUAUUUUUUGUUGUAGAUGUUUGUAUAGUAAUACUGUUUAAAAUUCAUUUGAUAAUAGAAAAUAGGUGAAAGAAAUAUUAAGAAACAAAAAAAGAAAUAUGACAUGAUUAUUAUAGAAAUUGUUUUAUUUUUUAAAGUCAAAAAAAUAUCAAAUUCAAAAGGUGAAGGAAAAAUAAAGAAAUAAAAAGAAAGAUAUAAGACGAUUUCAGAUAUACUUCUUUUAGGGGGAAAAAAACUCUGUAAUAUAUAGGCAGCUUCUGCUUCUUACUAAAUUUACUAUAAACUCGUGUUUUUGUUGCUGUUUGUUUUCUGGUAUCAACUCAACUAACUAAAUUUAGUAUAAACUCUUUUUUUACUAAAUUUCAUUGUAGGAUAGUAAUGAAAAAAUAUGGGCUUCAAGUUGUCAUCAACUACCUACCUGAACAUGGAUAGGUGCUCAGAAUACUUGCAAGUUUAGACUUGAGACUAGAUAUUACAGAGAUAUUCUUCAUUACGUAUUUCACUGAGUAAACGCUCUUCAAGCUUAGACAAAGAACAUGGAAUUUCGCAGUUUUUCAUGAACGGUCCCACCACCAUGGUUUGAACACGUUUCUGAAAUGUCAUCGUACAUCGUAAACUUCCUUGUCUGAGUGGCUGCCAAGUGUGCAUAAUGAAUUGGAGCAACUGUGCUCAGAAUACUUGCAAGUUUAGACUUGAGACUAGAUAUUACAGAGAUAUUCUUCAUUACGUAUUUCACUGAGUAAACGCUCUUCAAGCUUAGACAAAGAACAUGGAAUUUCGCAGUUUUUCAUGAACGGUCCCACCACCAUGGUUUGAACACGUUUCUGAAGUGUCAUCGUACAUCGUAAACUUCCUUGUCUGAGUGGCUGCCAAGCGUGCAUAAUGAAUUGGAUGUAAACUUCCUUGUCUGAGUGGCUGCCAAGCGUGCAUAAUGAAUUGGAGCAACUGGAAUGGUUUGAACACGUUUCUGAAGUGUCAUCGUACAUUGUAAACUUCCUUGUCUGAGUGGCUGCCAAGCGUGCAUAAUGAAUUGGAGCAACUGGAACAAAGAAAGAUUUGUAUCAGAAUCUAUAGUGGAAAGCACAACACAUGUGAACAUUUGAAAGCACUGGUUGGAUAUGUACAUACCUACAGAAGUAGCAGUUGUGCUUCCCUGGUACCUGAAAUCACAUGAUAUACUGGGAUGUUAGUAACCUCCUACAUAGACAUGUCAGCUAAAUUAACAAAUAAGAAACAAAUACAUACUGGUAGCACAGAAAAUGAACAAAUUUCUGCAUCUCAUCCGGGGAAAAACCAAUUUCAUCCAACAAAACGUGAUAAUGGGUUGGCCUUGUAGUACCCUAAUGAGAUGAAAUAUAAGAAUGUUAGGAGAAUUUGUUGACAAUUGAAAUGAAGAAUUGACUGACCAAAACUAAUUACCCAAUAUAUCAACAGGUAAGAUACAUGCUACCAAAUUAUAUCAUGCCUUUAACUAACAAGUCAAAUACUCACAACCAUUCCAGCCUGAGCACACAAGUAGAAAUCAUUGUUCCGAGGAUGACAGAUCUUAUUGUCAACAACAGUUCCUGAAAAGAAAAGAAAAUUAGCACCUCGUGCACCACACCUUUGUACUAAAACCAUGCAAAUAUUAACUAUCUUAAACAUUCUACCAGCGGGGACAUUGUCAGCAGAUGUUGGCUGGAAAAACUUUGUAUGUCGACUCUUUUGUGCAAUUAUGACAACAAACUUUGGGCACCAUUUCCCAUCCUUGAACUUGCACGCCUGCAUAUAUAAAUUAGAAGAUUUCCAACAAACAUAACAUACAAAUUAAGCAAUAUUUAGCAUACCUCAAUAAUUUGAUUCAAUUCAAAAUUCAGAACCUGAUUGAACUGUGAUUCGCUAACACCAUUCCUAAAGAUUAUAGUACAGGGUAUUACUACAUAGCAAAAGAAUAUAAAUUGCACAAAAAAAGUAGCACCCGGAAUAGAAAAAUACAAAAACUCUUAUUUGGCAAGUAGUUAGAAGGUAAACACACAUAUUCUAAAUUUCAAGUACACCCACACUUCAAUCAUAUUCAGUCAAAAGUACCUAAAUAUAAUGAUUUGUUCGGGUCUCCUGCUCCCUGACCUCAUGUAAUAGUCAUCCAAAAUCUCACUGCAGAUAAACAGCGGAUGUCACUAAUAAAUUAUCCCUCGACUGCUUACUGAUAAUUAUGACUGCAUACUGAAAGUCAAAAACUGAUUCUAGCUUACUAUUAUUACCCUUGCAAGGGUCUUCAAAUGAGAUGAAGGACUUUAUAACUAGCAAAUGUAACAAUAAUAACAUAAAAGACAGUCAUAUAUAGAUCAACCUCAUUAUUCCAUCAUCUUUGUUGUCAGCAACUCUGGUAAAGAGAGAGGCUAUCAUCUUAACCUUUGGGGACUGAGUAUGAACUGAUGCCCUAUACUUUGCGCUCAGUGGCCCCUCUCCGGAACUAACAACCUGAGAAUUUUAUGAAUGUAAGAUAAGACAAAAUGGCCAGUGCUUGUACCUAACAACCUGCGAAAUUUUACGAAAGAAAAGCAAGACAAAACACAAAAUAGAAUUGAAAUUCCGACACCGAUGUUGCAUUUCGUCGGAGAAAUAUGUCACAUCGUUCAUAAUCCAUUAAUGGUAAUUUUUAAAAACUAUUGCAUCGUAAAUUUCAAUGUAUUACUUGUAUAAGAUUUUCAAAAAUACACUGGAACCACUUAAAUUAGAAGAGCAGAUGAAAAAUGAUUAUAAAAAAAAGAUUCACCGCAGCAAUAGAUGGAACAUCAGAAGAGCCACGGCAGAGCGUCAUCCCAAUGAUAAGUGAGCCAGCUUUUAGUUUUUGAGAAAUGCUACGGGCAUAUCCAAUUGCGAACUUCGAAUUCAGCCCACCAAGCUACCAAGACAAUAAAAAAUAUUCAUCAAUGUCAAAUCCACUGAAAAACUAUUAACAUCAGAUUAUUCCAGAAUAUAUAAUACCUUUGCAUUGAUCUUUAGAAGGACACUCAUCAGACGUUGGUCAACUACAUAAGAAAGGCCUUUUCUUGUAUAAAUCUUAGGACCAAUGCACUGUGUAUAAAUUCCAUGGACAACUUGACAAUUUCUUUUCCAGUGACCUUGCAAAACAAAUUAGUAAAGUCAAGUAAAUAUACAGUAUUGAAAAAAAUUUGAACAGAGGACUAGAAACAAACCAUAUAGAGGUGAUUUCCUCUCAGGAAGUACACAGAGCAAAAAUUGUGGGGCGUAUGGAAGUUUUGAGAACAAAAAUUUGAACAUCUUUUCAACUCUAACAAGAGGAGAAUCCCGCCUGUGCUGUGGACUUUCCUCGAUCACCACAGGAGAGCUCAAAAAAUUCUGUAGAAAAAGUUUUAACAAUUAAAAAGUUCAACAAUUAGCCGUGCAAAUGGCAGAAACAAUUAAUACUUACCAUUCCUUUUAACUCCCCGCAUUUUAUAAGAUCAUUUAUUAGGGAUUGCAUGUUGCACUUAGCAGAGAAGUUGACAACAGCCCAUUCACUAAUUGUUGUAGGCUGCAAGAGUUUCUGGUCAAACACAUUAAAAGUUAAUUAAAAUCAUCAACAGACAUGUAUAAUGGAUAAAAACGUUAAUAACUUUACUAUAAACAAACCUUUUCGCUGAAAUUCCAGCGACCGUUGUGGGGUGCUAUGGUUUCUAAAUGUCCGACCCGUAUCUGUAAUUAUAAGAAAUGAGAAAGUCAUAAGCUACAAAACAUAUAGGGGGGAGUGAGAGAGAAGUGUGUACCCUAGGUGCUGCCAGCAUGCGCCCAUCUACUUCAGUGAACUUAUUAAUAAUAGAAACACCGCAGGCACGCAACAAAGGCUCGUCAGCAUAAUUGUUGAUUUGUGGACCCUGCAAACACCAUGAAGUAGUUUUAUAAAAAAUAAAAAUGAGAAUGCUCUUCCUCGAAAGGUUGAUAAGAUAAGAAUUACGUUUGUCAAUGUUGUCAUCCUAUCUUGGGGCUUUUGCUUUGAUUUCUCCACCAAUGACCCUGGUUGAAGAGUGGUAAGAGCUUUUGGAUAAUGUUGCAAGGAAACCAGUGAACAAAGCUACAAAACAGUUGCAUUUAAGUAUAAAGUAAGAAAUUCAUUUGUCACAUAGAGAUCCUGAGAUAUAAUUGAGAACUGUAACUGCUAAUUAGUAAUGCGGCAAAGAAUAACCUCUAGAGGGAUAUAUGUUGGACGCUUGGGGUUUCCAACAAUAAUGCAGGGAAGAUCACCAGAGUAACACAGAGGAAUAUUUCUAAUGUUUACAAAAUAAUCAUAAACAGAUAAUUCAGUCAUUAGUGGUUCCCCAUUCUCAUCUUUUUCACCUCUCCGCUUCAUCGAAAACCUACAGGACAAUUAAAAGAAACAUAAAUCUUCGAGUUGAACCAAAAAAACAUUGGGCAAUGGAAAUACAAAAACUUAAACAGGCAAGGAAGUUGAUUUCUAAGAGCAUCCAGGCACAAAUACCACAAAUAGGUACAUUAAAAGUACUAGAAGCAUACAUAAGUUUUUUGCAGAUUUCAUCGCUGAGUCCUGUAAUCUUGUACGCAGUGUUAGUUGAACUGGUCUUCACCCUUAAACCUUUCAGCACUUGAUUGGCCUGCACAAUGGAGGGAAAACGAGAAUUUAGAAAUAAUAAGUUGAAGAAUUGGAUGAUGUAGUGAAGUUUAGUUUACCGUCGCCCAGUCAAGAGAAAAUGAAUCCUUGGCAUUCUGAUUGGCUAUCAGGAAAUCAACAACAGGUCCAGGCUUAAUAACCAUUAUGCUGUCUGAUAAGUCACAAAACAAAUCUAGUUAACAAUUUAUAUGUUGUAUCAGCUAUGCCGGCAUUAAUAUACAUUACUUGAAAAACAUAUAUUACAAUACAAACUUGAGCAAGCAUACCUAUAUUUAGUGACAAACCUCCCUGUGUGGUCCGAAAACUUGAAUUAAAUCCAUGAUAACCAAGGACGCCACCCCCCAAAUCAGAAAACUCAUUCACGUUAAAGCACAACUGGCGUUCAAAACGGCAUCCCCUGCAGUACUCAAUGUUAAAUAUCAAUCACAUGACAAACCCUAAAAAAGUCAGGAGCAAUAACAUACUGUUUAGCUGCAUGCUGUCUGACGAUGAUAUUUAGAACCCUUAUGGCCUCCUGAGAGUUCUUCGAGUCCUGACCACGUAAAGCUUGUGCAAUGGCCUGCAUAGGAAUCUUCGCAGCAAAGGAUAUCUCAACCUUGUAAGACUUAGAUUGAUUGUUCCUGCAUAUAAUAACAAUCCAGUGAACUCUAGCUUGUUUCUUAACCACAACAGUGAACUCUAGCAAUUAUUUAAGCAAAAACAUACCUAUUGGAUGAGUUAUCCUUAAGCACAACAGUGAACUCAAGCUUGUUUUUAGGAAGAGCUCCAACUGUAAACAGACUCUUUUCACCAUCAUAAGCGAAGUCUUUCCCUUCCACCUCAGCCUUGUAUGUGUCAUGAACACAAUCAAGCACUUGGGUUUUAAUACCUUUACCUUCAACUGGACGGCCAUCCUCAUAGAAAAAGGCAACCUGCAUAAUUAUUAUGCUUAGAUUCUGCCAAACGCAGCCAGGCAACAGCAAGGAAAAAAAAUACAAGGUAAAUAAUUAACUAGGAAGAAACUUACAGUAUACUGAAAAAAAUGUCCAUCGACAUUUUUAACAUUCACUUUAUAGUGAUUCGUAAGAAGUUGAAUCUUCUUGCCUUUUGAUGCUAGGCCACACCUAGCUAUAGGCUUCUUGGCUUCCAUCUUAACACAAAUAAACACAAACAUUACACAGUAAUGAAAUAAUCAGUUCAACACGAGUAAUAGAUUUUUAAAAAAAUAAAAAAUAUAACAUACACAGCUCUUUCAACUCUAAUUCACAUAAAAAUACCGCAAGCAAAAAAUCAGUUCAAGCAUCAAACUGUAGUUCAACACGAGUAAUAGAUGUAAUUAACGCGUCAAACUGUAAAAAAUAUUACAUACACAGCUCUUUCAACUCUAAUUCACAUAAAAAUACCGCAAGCAAACAAUCAGUUCAAGCAUCAAACUGUAAUUCAACACGAGUAAUAGAUGUAAUUAACGCAUCAAACUGUAAAAAAUAUAACAUGCACAGCUCUUUCAACUCUAAUUCACAUAAAAAUACCUCAAGCAAACAAUCAGUUCAAGCAUCAAACUGUAAUUCAACACGAGUAAUAGAUGUAAUUAACGCAACAAACUGUAAUUCAACACNACUGUAAUUCAACACGAGUAAUANNNNNNNNNNNNNNNNNNNNNNNNNNNNNNNNNNNNNNNNNNNNNNNNNNNNNNNNNNNNNNNNNNNNNNNNNNNNNNNNNNNNNNNNNNNNNNNNNNNNNNNNNNNNNNNNNNNNNNNNNNNNNNNNNNNNNNNNNNNNNNNNNNNNNNNNNNNNNNNNNNNNNNNNNNNNNNNNNNNNNNNNNNNNNNNNNNNNNNNNNNNNNNNNNNNNNNNNNNNNNNNNNNNNNNNNNNNNNNNNNNNNNNNNNNNNNNNNNNNNNNNNNNNNNNNNNNNNNNNNNNNNNNNNNNNNNNNNNNNNNNNNNNNNNNNNNNNNNNNNNNNNNNNNNNNNNNNNNNNNNNNNNNNNNNNNNNNNNNNNNNNNNNNNNNNNNNNNNNNNNNNNNNNNNNNNNNNNNNNNNNNNNNNNNNNNNNNNNNNNNNNNNNNNNNNNNNNNNNNNNNNNNNNNNNNNNNNNNNNNNNNNNNNNNNNNNNNNNNNNNNNNNNNNNNNNNNNNNNNNNNNNNNNNNNNNNNNNNNNNNNNNNNNNNNNNNNNNNNNNNNNNNNNNNNNNNNNNNNNNNNNNNNNNNNNNNNNNNNNNNNNNNNNNNNNNNNNNNNNNNNNNNNNNNNNNNNNNNNNNNNNNNNNNNNNNNNNNNNNNNNNNNNNNNNNNNNNNNNNNNNNNNNNNNNNNNNNNNNNNNNNNNNNNNNNNNNNNNNNNNNNNNNNNNNNNNNNNNNNNNNNNNNNNNNNNNNNNNNNNNNNNNNNNNNNNNNNNNNNNNNNNNNNNNNNNNNNNNNNNNNNNNNNNNNNNNNNNNNNNNNNNNNNNNNNNNNNNNNNNNNNNNNNNNNNNNNNNNNNNNNNNNNNNNNNNNNNNNNNNNNNNNNNNNNNNNNNNNNNNNNNNNNNNNNNNNNNNNNNNNNNNNNNNNNNNNNNNNNNNNNNNNNNNNNNNNNNNNNNNNNNNNNNNNNNNNNNNNNNNNNNNNNNNNNNNNNNNNNNNNNNNNNNNNNNNNNNNNNNNACCUGGCUGACAUAGUAGACGGGCUUCUGCUGCCCGGCUUCUUCCCUGAUCAGGGCUGCCCCAACGGCCAAAGGUCCGGCUGACAGGUAUAGAUAGAGAGGCUCUCCGGGUAAGGCUUUUGUCAGGAUCGGAGGUUUGGACAGGUAUGAUUUGAUUUCAUCAAGGGCUUUUUGGCACUCCGGGCUCCAUUCUACUAACUUCUGAUUUUUUGCCCCUUUUAACAGUUCGAAGAACGGUAGGCAUCUUUCAGCGAGUUUGGAGACAAACCUUCGAAGUGCUGCCAAGGACCCUGCUAGCUUUUGAACCUCCCUUUGGGUCCGGGGUGGUUGCAUCUCUUGUACAGCUUUGAUCUUCUCCGGGUUGGCCUCGAUACCCCGGUUGCUUACCAUGAAACCCAGAAACUUUCCAGCCUCUACUCCAAAGGUGCACUUGUCUGGAUUGAGCUUUAGCUUAGUUCUUCUCAUGUUCUCAAAACAUUCUCUGAGGUCUGAUAUGUGACAUUAGCUAGCCACUCCGGGUAUUUGAUUUCACAUAUGAUAUCGGCUUUCAUUAAUUUGCCAACUUCCUCAUCUAUUGCCCUCUGCCUCUCCGGGGCGAAAUUUCUUCGUUUUUGUUUAACAGGCUUCUUCUUGGGAUCGACGUCCAGGCUGUGCAUUGCCAAUGAUUCAUCCAACCCGGGCAUGUCGUCCGGGCUCCAGGCAAAAACAUCUGCAUAGCUCCGGAGUAGUUGGAUGAGUUCCUCUUUAAAGACAGUAUCCAGGCCUUUUCCAAUUUUGACUUUCCUUGUCGGGUUGUCUUUUUCGAUCAGGACCGACUCGGUCUCGACCGCAGCUUCGACCUUGGUCAAUUCUUGUGCCGAGAUCAUUUGUUGGGGUUGCUCCCGGGUUGAUGUUACCCGGGUCGAGAUCAUUUGUUGGAUCCGGGCGUCAGUGUUCUUUUCCACAAAAUCUUGAGCUGAGUCCGUGGUUGCUUUCUGGAUGUUUUGUUCAGGACCAGGGUUGGUUGCUCCCGGGUUAAUGUUACCCGGGUUGAGGUCGAUCACCUGGACCUCUCCUUUGGGAUUUGUUUUCGGGUAUGGUCGGUGUUUUUUGUUGCUCUUCUGUUUUUGAAAAACGGUUGCCUUUCUCUUGUUGUCCAGGUGUGUUUCUGCCAUGACCAAGGCUUGGCUAUAACAUACCCCGGCUGUCGCCGAGUCUCCUUUGACUUCUCCUACCCCGAACGGGGUUGGGAAUUUGAACUUUCCCCGGCUGUCGCCGAGUCUCCUUUGACUUCUCCUACCCCGAACGGGGUUGGGAAUUUGAACUUCAGGUGUGGAAUGGAUGUGAUAGCUUCGAUCUUGUUCAGACCUGGGCGGCCGAUGAUCACGUUGUAAGGUGAGGGCGUAUCUGUGACAUAGAAUUUGAUGGUAUGAGUGACUUGGUUCGGAAGAGUUCCGAAUCGGACCGGGAGAUAGAGUGUGCCAAGGACCGGGACAAUGCUAUUCCCGAACCCAUAUAGAGGAUCCUCCCUGUAGUCGUUCAUCCGGAUACUCCCGAGCUCCAUUCGAUCCAUGGUGUGUUUGAACAAGAUGUUGGCCGAGGAGCCGUUGUCCACCAGGAUCCUCCUUACUUCAUUUUCGGCCAUGUCAAGGGUCACUACCAGGGCUUGAUUGUGGCCCCGGGUGACUCCUUCAAAGUCCUUGUUGCUGAAGGAGAUCACUUGUUCGGGGAAGGCUUGAAUGGACAUCACUUCUUGACAGGAGCCCGGGCUAGGGGGAGGGGAACAGGAUCCUCCCAGCACUACGUUGACAAUGUUUUUCUGUUUCCCGGAUCCUCCUGUUUUGUCGGCUGUAUUCCGGGCUAUAUACUGUCCCAUAUUUCCCUUGCUGAUCUGCUCUUCAAUGAAGUACUUGAGGGAUAUGCAAUUUUCAGUUUUAUGACCAUGGGUACCAUGGUAAUCACAGUGCCUGUUGGUAGGUCUGCUUUCGGGAGGAGUUUGCAUGGGUUUUGGUGGGUAGUAGAAGGGUUUGUCCCGGACCUCUUUGAGUAUGUCCUCGCGAGACCUGUUUAGAGGAGUCCAUUCGGGCUCUGGUUUUGGUUCCCUGGUUGCUUUGUUUGGACCGGGGUCGUUUCUGGACCCGGAUCCCUGUUGGCUGGUUCUCUUAGAACCUGAUUGCUGGAUGAAGUUUGUUUGUCUAUCUGGCUUGAAUUUCUUAUCUUGGAGUACAUCGGUUUCCUUGAUGAAUUUGGCGGCCAUGGCAUAGGCAGCUGCCAGGCUUUGGGGUUCCUUGUUGAUCAGUUCGACCACAUAUCUCUCAUUUUGUUCCGGGUCCAGGUUCCUUCGGAAUAUGCUUAGGGCCUCACGUUCAUCCAAGUUGGAAAUUUUGUUGAUUGCUUCCUGGAAACGUUUCAUGUAGUCUGAGAGUGCCUCAUUGUCAUAUUGGCGAACCGUUUCCAGGUGACACAUAUGGAGUUCAUGUGUCUUGUUUGCUCGAAACCUUCUGAGGAAGGCUUCCCUGAAAUCUUUCCAGGACCCGAUGCUCCGGGAGGGGAUCCGGCUGAACCAUCUCUGGGCCCCUCCCUUGAAUGUGGAUGCGAAGAAGCGACAUUUGGUUAGAUCAUUGUACCAGUAAAUUUGGGCUAUCUGUUCAAAGUAGUGCAGGUGUUCCUCCGGGUCUCCCAGUCCAUUGNNNNNNNNNNNNNNNNNNNNNNNNNNNNNNNNNNNNNNNNNNNNNNNNNNNNNNNNNNNNNNNNNNNNNNNNNNNNNNNNNNNUCCGGGUCUCCCAGUCCAUUGAAAGAUUCAAAGUUGUAGUGUUUCAUACCCUUUUGCCGGGGUAUGGAUUCCAAGGAGUGGCUGAAGGGAGUCAGGGUUCCCCCAAUUUCAAGCCCGGCAUCGUUUCCGAUUUUCCGGUUGAGUUCAUUGAUCAUGUCUCUGAGGUUGGUUUGCCCCGGUCUCUCAUCCUCGUCAUCAGAGAUGAGUUCGGGUGUUGUUUCCUUCCGGUAGCGCUUGGACCGGGAUCCUUUUGUCAACUUUUCCUCUUCGAGUUGAAUCCGGAGGGCGAUUUUUUGCUCAAGUUUUUCUUCUUCCUCUUUCCGGAUUUGUUCUUUCCUUUCGGCCAAGAUCUUCAGCCGGGUUUCCUCACUUUCCUUUUGUUUCUUUUUCUUUGUUUUGUCCCCGAUCCGGUCAAAGACGGAACCCCGGGAUUGACGGCUGUUCCCGGAGUCCUCAGACUCACCGAUGUCCUCAAGUCUGCGGUUGCUUUCCCGGCGAUCAUGGUACUGCCGGAUGGCCUCGGCCAACUCUACAUUGGUGAGCUGGGACAGGUGGAGGGUGGUGAUCGGGACGUCGGUGUACUUGUACUGAUUCGCUUCGAUCGUGACCCGUGCAUCAUUAGGGUUGAUUGCUUGGUUCUCGUCCGGGUUCACAUGGGUGAAAAGGGGUCCUGAGGCAUGAUCCUGGUUCGGGUUGUCCUGGUCUGUCUGAGGGUUAUCCGGGUUCUGGGGAAGCCCCAGGUGGGAGCGUGUCCUUUUUGUCAUGGUUUCAAGAACUCACACAGGGCGUAUGGUUGCUGUUUUUGUGACAAUGCUUGCAAAUAGUAUAGAUAGUGACAGGGUGACAGAAAUAGUGUGUACAGGUAGUCAACUUACUAUUUUCAGAAAUACUAUAAGUAGUUAAGUGACAAAUUGUGACCAGGUGUGAGACAAAAAGAUUNNNNNNNNNNNNNNNNNNNNNNNNNNNNNNNNNNNNNNNNNNNNNNNNNNNNNNNNNNNNNNNNNNNNNNNNNNNNNNNNNNNNNNNNNNNNNNNNNNNNNNNNNNNNNNNNNNNNNNNNNNNNNNNNNNNNNNNNNNNNNNNNNNNNNNNNNNNNNNNNNNNNNNNNNNNNNNNNNNNNNNNNNNNNNNNNNNNNNNNNNNNNNNNNNNNNNNNNNNNNNNNNNNNNNNNCCUCCGCCGUGACUGGUGGUUCCGUGGUGCAGCUGCUGGAGUGGGGGCCUAACAAACAACGGCCGGGCGGGGGGGUUUUGCCCGAAGCGCCUCCGGCGUGAGAGUAAGCGUAGGUUCGGAAGGAUAGAGAUUAGAGAAAGUGCUAUCUAUGUGUGGUGGGUGAAGGUGUUUGGUUGGUGGUUGCUGGUGGCUGAGAGUGUUUGAGUAUAUGCUGAGUGUAAGUGUGUGUAUGAAUGAGUGUAAAGAGAGAGUGAAGUUAACCCCCAGACUCUUGAUCCUUGGUCUAUUUAUAGGCCAAGGAUUAGGGUUCGGGGGUGCGUACCUGGAUCCUGGUCCUACACGUGUAGGGGUUUGAUCCCCUACACGUGUCCAGGUGUCGGCGUAGAAGUAGUCUUUUGGAAUGUUCCCUGGCUUGUCUCUAUCGCCAGUAGUUGACCGUUAUAUUUGUCUUCAUCGUGUCAGUCUGUGCCUUGUGCAGCAAGUGUCGGCUGGUACAGGUUUGGACCCCGGUCAAGGAGUAUGAUCCGGAUAUACGCCUGGUGUACCCGGGUCCUGUACCUUAUCCGGACGGCGUACUCUGGUAGGGUUGGUGGAUUGUACCCUACUCCUGGUGGCUUCCCGGGGAUCGGGGUCUUUGAGUAGGCCCGGGUUUGUGAACCCGGGUUACCCCUAUCAAGUAGUUGUUCCCUUUGCUGGUUUCACCAUCUGGAUAGCCUCCUUCUGGAACCCAUCGAACUGAAACAAACAGAACAACAAUAUAAGUCACAAUUCUAUAAUGACAAUUUCUAAGAGCAAGUCCAAUGGUGAUGUUAAAAUAGAUGUAGCUAUUGUUAUAAUUUGAAACCAAAAAGUGGUUUUUGGUGUUAAAAUAGAACUUAUAGUCCAAUGGUAAAUGCAAAAUAGAACCAAACAUAUCCAAAUAAAGCUAUAUUCUAAUUACAUAAUCUUAAAGUACAUAAUUAUAUUUGUCACUAUUACUUUAUUAAUGCAUUUUGUCACUUGCAUGCUUAUGUGGCAAUUAUAGCACCAUCUAUACUUGGUUCUAUAUUUAGCACCAAGUAUAGCAUUUUGCUAUUCUAUAUUCAAGUUUAGCAUCUCAUUGGAGUUUGAGUUUUUUGCUUGGAUGCUAUAUUAUAGCAAUAGCACCUACUUUAACACCACCAUUGGACUUGCUCUAACAUGUAAACCAGGAAAAUCAAACCCACAUCAAGCGUAUCAGGAAGCUGGAACGACGGAGUUCUUAGAAAGCUCUCGCACAAGUCAGAGUCAGCUCCGCAAAACGAGGCAGGAGAUUCGAGUCCACUAAAAUCAAUUCUCUUCAUUGCUUAAUCUGCAGUUACACAGAUAAAUCGCAGUUGUUAUCCAUCCACUACAUCAAAAAAACAUCAAGCACAAAAGCCACACAUUAUUCCCAACACCUAACUACAUAACAUAUCCACCUCAUAAUCCGCAAUCAUUUACAACAUACAUCGAAACCUCUAACCUAAACCUUCUGCCUGUCCCCCAGCUCAAAUCACUCUCCAAAGCAAUUUCCUAAACCUCUAACCUAAACCUUCUGUCUGUCCCCCAGCUCGAAUCAACCGACCAAAAUUUUUUGUGUUUCGGUUUUUAUAUAUUAUAUUACUACAAAUAUGUGUAUAUGCAUAUGUUAUUCGACGAUGAUGUCUUUUUUAUUGAUUUAAUGAAUUUACCUAAAAAAUUUUAGAGACUAUAAAAUGAAGAAUUGUAUCUUGAAAUUAUUAAGUAUUGUGUCAAUUUUUUUGAUGCAUAAGACUAUAAGUUAAAUUUUAAAUUUAAUAAUAUUCAAGUUCAGAAAAAAAUCUUAAAAAAUAUACUUAUAAUGUUACUAAUUUUUUGAAAUUUGGGUUUUAGAUAAAUCCAAAUUAAAUUUGAUUUGAAUUCAGAUAUCUAAAAACCCAAUUGAAUUUGGAUUUGAUUAGGAGUCCUAUAAAUCCACCAUAAUUCCCCUCUUGUUGCCUACACAUUCUCUUCCUCCCUUUUUUUUUCAUAGCUAAGGAUGGCGACUUGUCUACCCGAAGAGAUCACUUUUUACGAGAUUUUACUCCGACGAUCAACACUUUCUAUCAAGUGUUGGAUUCGUUUAACUUUAGUAUGCAAGCGUUGGCUUUCACUCAUCACAAAACCUGGACCAAUCAAUUCCCACCUCGUUCACUCUUUAUAUCUUAAUAAUACUUGUGAAUCCCCUUCUGUUGUUGCUCAUUAUUCCGGACGUCACACUUUCCCCGAAAUCAUCGUCUUGCCCAACAACAACUCAGUCUUUUACAAAUUUAAGGAUUCUGUAGUUAAAAUCUGUGUCCAAAUCUUUGGCUUUGAUCCCUCCUUUCUUCAAGUUGAAUCAUAUCGCCAUGCAGCAGGUGCACUGCAUGUUAAACUAAUAGAUUCAGUAAAUGGUCUUGUCUGUUUCUCUCAUGCAUAUGCGCAACGCGUGCUUUUUAUUUGGAAUCCGGUAACCAAUCUCUUCACAACUGUUUACAAACCGUCUGUUGUUUCAAGUGCAACAAUCCUUAAUGAAGACUCUGUAUUCUAUUAUGACCCGGUGAAAGGAGAUGUGAAGAUUAUGCACAUUGAACUUUUGUGUUGGAUGGAAAACACGAAUUCAAUUCGAGUUCAUGUGUACUCUUUCAACGCUGAGGUUUGGAAAGAAAUUAAAGACGACACACUUCCCAGGACACAGUUUAAAAUCAUGCGCACUGUCAAGCGUAGGCCUGGUUACACUUAUGUGCAAUUUGGUUCGUCUGAGUUGGUGGCCUUUGAUUUUAAUAACGAGGUGUUCAAGCGCUUGCCUUAUUUUCCUAGUGAUAGUACCAUUAACUGGAUGGGCUCUCUUUGUAAAGUAAGGCUUAAUUACCCAGAACAAGUCGUAUAUGCUUUGGAUGGAAGUAAUGCUACUUGGAUGGAAAAAUGCAUUGUUCGUUAUUCCCCCGAAGCGGACAAGUUAAGACUAAGACUAAGACUAAGUUUGAGCAAUGGUGACAUGGUAGUUGAAGAUAAGUACGGGACUCCGUUGUGGUCCGAAGCUGAAGCUGAUCAACGUAGCAGGCCUACUAAUUUAAUAUCUGAAACGAGUGGACGCUACUAUGAUAUUACUCCCUACACAGAAAGCCUACUUUGCGUCAAGGGGAUGCAGGACCUUAAUAAAAAGAUGAAAACCAGAAGAGAAGUAUGUAAUUUGAGGAAGAAAAUAACAAGAUAAUUUGGUUGUGGUUUGUAAUGAGAAAUCUUAAUUUUAUAAUUUGCUUUUCUUUAAGCACGCCAUUAUUGUAGUUUCUUGUUUGCUUCUGAUCAUCAACUGAUUUUAUGUUGCUUCUGGUAUGAUUCAUUAUUAACUAAGUCAUGACAAUCUCUGUCUAAUGAGUAACACUGUUGCUUCUCAUUAUUUACUAAUAAUGUUAGCUACUAAAUGGGAGCCAGUAUUUUUGGCUCGGAAACAGAGUUUAUGUUUUAGUUAGGAAACUGAAAUACUCAUCAAAAUCUAUUUAAUGGGAGUUGGAACAUGAACAUUGGUAAGAAUAUACAAAUAAACUACUUCUUACUAAAUUUAGUAAGAAGCUAAUAGUCAAGUAUAAGAAUAAAUAUAUUAUUAAAAGAGUUCAGGUAAAAAUCAUUUAUAUUUUAGGUAAUAAUAAUUUAUAACUUCAAAUUUAUAGUUAGUAAGAUCGGAAAUAACUCUUGAGUUCAAAAAUAAUGGUGAUAUCUGAGAAACAUGAUGAUAUUCGAUAAUAAAAUGAUAAAAUUAUUUAUAGAUAAGAAGGCCGGGAGAAUACGUGAAAUAUUUUUUGUUGUAGAUGUUUGUAUAGUAAUACUGUUUAAAAUUCAUUUGAUAAUAGAAAAUAGGUGAAAGAAAUAUUAAGAAACAAAAAAAGAAAUAUGACAUGAUUAUUAUAGAAAUUGUUUUAUUUUUUAAAGUCAAAAAAAUAUCAAAUUCAAAAGGUGAAGGAAAAAUAAAGAAAUAAAAAGAAAGAUAUAAGACGAUUUCAGAUAUACUUCUUUUAGGGGGAAAAAAACUCUGUAAUAUAUAGGCAGCUUCUGCUUCUUACUAAAUUUACUAUAAACUCGUGUUUUUGUUGCUGUUUGUUUUCUGGUAUCAACUCAACUAACUAAAUUUAGUAUAAACUCUUUUUUUACUAAAUUUCAUUGUAGGAUAGUAAUGAAAAAAUAUGGGCUUCAAGUUGUCAUCAACUACCUACCUGAACAUGGAUAGGUGCUCAGAAUACUUGCAAGUUUAGACUUGAGACUAGAUAUUACAGAGAUAUUCUUCAUUACGUAUUUCACUGAGUAAACGCUCUUCAAGCUUAGACAAAGAACAUGGAAUUUCGCAGUUUUUCAUGAACGGUCCCACCACCAUGGUUUGAACACGUUUCUGAAGUGUCAUCGUACAUCGUAAACUUCCUUGUCUGAGUGGCUGCCAAGCGUGCAUAAUGAAUUGGAGCAACUGGAACAAAGAAAGAUUUGUAUCAGAAUCUAUAGUGGAAAGCACAACACAUGUGAACAUUUGAAAGCACUGGUUGGAUAUGUACAUACCUACAGAAGUAGCAGUUGUGCUUCCCUGGUACCUGAAAUCACAUGAUAUACUGGGAUGUUAGUAACCUCCUACAUAGACAUGUCAGCUAAAUUAACAAAUAAGAAACAAAUACAUACUGGUAGCACAGAAAAUGAACAAAUUUCUGCAUCUCAUCCGGGGAAAAACCAAUUUCAUCCAACAAAACGUGAUAAUGGGUUGGCCUUGUAGUACCCUAAUGAGAUGAAAUAUAAGAAUGUUAGGAGAAUUUGUUGACAAUUGAAAUGAAGAAUUGACUGACCAAAACUAAUUACCCAAUAUAUCAACAGGUAAGAUACAUGCUACCAAAUUAUAUCAUGCCUUUAACUAACAAGUCAAAUACUCACAACCAUUCCAGCCUGAGCACACAAGUAGAAAUCAUUGUUCCGAGGAUGACAGAUCUUAUUGUCAACAACAGUUCCUGAAAAGAAAAGAAAAUUAGCACCUCGUGCACCACACCUUUGUACUAAAACCAUGCAAAUAUUAACUAUCUUAAACAUUCUACCAGCGGGGACAUUGUCAGCAGAUGUUGGCUGGAAAAACUUUGUAUGUCGACUCUUUUGUGCAAUUAUGACAACAAACUUUGGGCACCAUUUCCCAUCCUUGAACUUGCACGCCUGCAUAUAUAAAUUAGAAGAUUUCCAACAAACAUAACAUACAAAUUAAGCAAUAUUUAGCAUACCUCAAUAAUUUGAUUCAAUUCAAAAUUCAGAACCUGAUUGAACUGUGAUUCGCUAACACCAUUCCUAAAGAUUAUAGUACAGGGUAUUACUACAUAGCAAAAGAAUAUAAAUUGCACAAAAAAAGUAGCACCCGGAAUAGAAAAAUACAAAAACUCUUAUUUGGCAAGUAGUUAGAAGGUAAACACACAUAUUCUAAAUUUCAAGUACACCCACACUUCAAUCAUAUUCAGUCAAAAGUACCUAAAUAUAAUGAUUUGUUCGGGUCUCCUGCUCCCUGACCUCAUGUAAUAGUCAUCCAAAAUCUCACUGCAGAUAAACAGCGGAUGUCACUAAUAAAUUAUCCCUCGACUGCUUACUGAUAAUUAUGACUGCAUACUGAAAGUCAAAAACUGAUUCUAGCUUACUAUUAUUACCCUUGCAAGGGUCUUCAAAUGAGAUGAAGGACUUUAUAACUAGCAAAUGUAACAAUAAUAACAUAAAAGACAGUCAUAUAUAGAUCAACCUCAUUAUUCCAUCAUCUUUGUUGUCAGCAACUCUGGUAAAGAGAGAGGCUAUCAUCUUAACCUUUGGGGACUGAGUAUGAACUGAUGCCCUAUACUUUGCGCUCAGUGGCCCCUCUCCGGAACUAACAACCUGAGAAUUUUAUGAAUGUAAGAUAAGACAAAAUGGCCAGUGCUUGUACCUAACAACCUGCGAAAUUUUACGAAAGAAAAGCAAGACAAAACACAAAAUAGAAUUGAAAUUCCGACACCGAUGUUGCAUUUCGUCGGAGAAAUAUGUCACAUCGUUCAUAAUCCAUUAAUGGUAAUUUUUAAAAACUAUUGCAUCGUAAAUUUCAAUGUAUUACUUGUAUAAGAUUUUCAAAAAUACACUGGAACCACUUAAAUUAGAAGAGCAGAUGAAAAAUGAUUAUAAAAAAAAGAUUCACCGCAGCAAUAGAUGGAACAUCAGAAGAGCCACGGCAGAGCGUCAUCCCAAUGAUAAGUGAGCCAGCUUUUAGUUUUUGAGAAAUGCUACGGGCAUAUCCAAUUGCGAACUUCGAAUUCAGCCCACCAAGCUACCAAGACAAUAAAAAAUAUUCAUCAAUGUCAAAUCCACUGAAAAACUAUUAACAUCAGAUUAUUCCAGAAUAUAUAAUACCUUUGCAUUGAUCUUUAGAAGGACACUCAUCAGACGUUGGUCAACUACAUAAGAAAGGCCUUUUCUUGUAUAAAUCUUAGGACCAAUGCACUGUGUAUAAAUUCCAUGGACAACUUGACAAUUUCUUUUCCAGUGACCUUGCAAAACAAAUUAGUAAAGUCAAGUAAAUAUACAGUAUUGAAAAAAAUUUGAACAGAGGACUAGAAACAAACCAUAUAGAGGUGAUUUCCUCUCAGGAAGUACACAGAGCAAAAAUUGUGGGGCGUAUGGAAGUUUUGAGAACAAAAAUUUGAACAUCUUUUCAACUCUAACAAGAGGAGAAUCCCGCCUGUGCUGUGGACUUUCCUCGAUCACCACAGGAGAGCUCAAAAAAUUCUGUAGAAAAAGUUUUAACAAUUAAAAAGUUCAACAAUUAGCCGUGCAAAUGGCAGAAACAAUUAAUACUUACCAUUCCUUUUAACUCCCCGCAUUUUAUAAGAUCAUUUAUUAGGGAUUGCAUGUUGCACUUAGCAGAGAAGUUGACAACAGCCCAUUCACUAAUUGUUGUAGGCUGCAAGAGUUUCUGGUCAAACACAUUAAAAGUUAAUUAAAAUCAUCAACAGACAUGUAUAAUGGAUAAAAACGUUAAUAACUUUACUAUAAACAAACCUUUUCGCUGAAAUUCCAGCGACCGUUGUGGGGUGCUAUGGUUUCUAAAUGUCCGACCCGUAUCUGUAAUUAUAAGAAAUGAGAAAGUCAUAAGCUACAAAACAUAUAGGGGGGAGUGAGAGAGAAGUGUGUACCCUAGGUGCUGCCAGCAUGCGCCCAUCUACUUCAGUGAACUUAUUAAUAAUAGAAACACCGCAGGCACGCAACAAAGGCUCGUCAGCAUAAUUGUUGAUUUGUGGACCCUGCAAACACCAUGAAGUAGUUUUAUAAAAAAUAAAAAUGAGAAUGCUCUUCCUCGAAAGGUUGAUAAGAUAAGAAUUACGUUUGUCAAUGUUGUCAUCCUAUCUUGGGGCUUUUGCUUUGAUUUCUCCACCAAUGACCCUGGUUGAAGAGUGGUAAGAGCUUUUGGAUAAUGUUGCAAGGAAACCAGUGAACAAAGCUACAAAACAGUUGCAUUUAAGUAUAAAGUAAGAAAUUCAUUUGUCACAUAGAGAUCCUGAGAUAUAAUUGAGAACUGUAACUGCUAAUUAGUAAUGCGGCAAAGAAUAACCUCUAGAGGGAUAUAUGUUGGACGCUUGGGGUUUCCAACAAUAAUGCAGGGAAGAUCACCAGAGUAACACAGAGGAAUAUUUCUAAUGUUUACAAAAUAAUCAUAAACAGAUAAUUCAGUCAUUAGUGGUUCCCCAUUCUCAUCUUUUUCACCUCUCCGCUUCAUCGAAAACCUACAGGACAAUUAAAAGAAACAUAAAUCUUCGAGUUGAACCAAAAAAACAUUGGGCAAUGGAAAUACAAAAACUUAAACAGGCAAGGAAGUUGAUUUCUAAGAGCAUCCAGGCACAAAUACCACAAAUAGGUACAUUAAAAGUACUAGAAGCAUACAUAAGUUUUUUGCAGAUUUCAUCGCUGAGUCCUGUAAUCUUGUACGCAGUGUUAGUUGAACUGGUCUUCACCCUUAAACCUUUCAGCACUUGAUUGGCCUGCACAAUGGAGGGAAAACGAGAAUUUAGAAAUAAUAAGUUGAAGAAUUGGAUGAUGUAGUGAAGUUUAGUUUACCGUCGCCCAGUCAAGAGAAAAUGAAUCCUUGGCAUUCUGAUUGGCUAUCAGGAAAUCAACAACAGGUCCAGGCUUAAUAACCAUUAUGCUGUCUGAUAAGUCACAAAACAAAUCUAGUUAACAAUUUAUAUGUUGUAUCAGCUAUGCCGGCAUUAAUAUACAUUACUUGAAAAACAUAUAUUACAAUACAAACUUGAGCAAGCAUACCUAUAUUUAGUGACAAACCUCCCUGUGUGGUCCGAAAACUUGAAUUAAAUCCAUGAUAACCAAGGACGCCACCCCCCAAAUCAGAAAACUCAUUCACGUUAAAGCACAACUGGCGUUCAAAACGGCAUCCCCUGCAGUACUCAAUGUUAAAUAUCAAUCACAUGACAAACCCUAAAAAAGUCAGGAGCAAUAACAUACUGUUUAGCUGCAUGCUGUCUGACGAUGAUAUUUAGAACCCUUAUGGCCUCCUGAGAGUUCUUCGAGUCCUGACCACGUAAAGCUUGUGCAAUGGCCUGCAUAGGAAUCUUCGCAGCAAAGGAUAUCUCAACCUUGUAAGACUUAGAUUGAUUGUUCCUGCAUAUAAUAACAAUCCAGUGAACUCUAGCUUGUUUCUUAACCACAACAGUGAACUCUAGCAAUUAUUUAAGCAAAAACAUACCUAUUGGAUGAGUUAUCCUUAAGCACAACAGUGAACUCAAGCUUGUUUUUAGGAAGAGCUCCAACUGUAAACAGACUCUUUUCACCAUCAUAAGCGAAGUCUUUCCCUUCCACCUCAGCCUUGUAUGUGUCAUGAACACAAUCAAGCACUUGGGUUUUAAUACCUUUACCUUCAACUGGACGGCCAUCCUCAUAGAAAAAGGCAACCUGCAUAAUUAUUAUGCUUAGAUUCUGCCAAACGCAGCCAGGCAACAGCAAGGAAAAAAAAUACAAGGUAAAUAAUUAACUAGGAAGAAACUUACAGUAUACUGAAAAAAAUGUCCAUCGACAUUUUUAACAUUCACUUUAUAGUGAUUCGUAAGAAGUUGAAUCUUCUUGCCUUUUGAUGCUAGGCCACACCUAGCUAUAGGCUUCUUGGCUUCCAUCUUAACACAAAUAAACACAAACAUUACACAGUAAUGAAAUAAUCAGUUCAACACGAGUAAUAGAUUUUUAAAAAAAUAAAAAAUAUAACAUACACAGCUCUUUCAACUCUAAUUCACAUAAAAAUACCGCAAGCAAAAAAUCAGUUCAAGCAUCAAACUGUAGUUCAACACGAGUAAUAGAUGUAAUUAACGCGUCAAACUGUAAAAAAUAUUACAUACACAGCUCUUUCAACUCUAAUUCACAUAAAAAUACCGCAAGCAAACAAUCAGUUCAAGCAUCAAACUGUAAUUCAACACGAGUAAUAGAUGUAAUUAACGCAUCAAACUGUAAAAAAUAUAACAUGCACAGCUCUUUCAACUCUAAUUCACAUAAAAAUACCUCAAGCAAACAAUCAGUUCAAGCAUCAAACUGUAAUUCAACACGAGUAAUAGAUGUAAUUAACGCAACAAACUGUAAUUCAACACGAGUAAUAGAUGUAAUUAACGCAACAAACUGUAAUUCAACACGAGUAAUAUAUGUAAUUAACGCAUCAAACUGUAAUUCAACACGAGUAAUAGAUGUAAUCAACACUAAAAGAGCUUCGAGAAUACCUCCGAAGAAAUCGCAAAACCCUAAUUUGAGAGUGCUGUUAGCUUUAGAGAGAGAAAGUGAGAGUGGAAUGAAAUGAGAGAGAAAGUGAGAGUGGAAUGAAAUGAGAGAGAAUAUGAUUAUGGGGAGUGGAGUGUGGUAUAUAUAGACAGGAAGUGUGUAUGCAGAGGUAAGGUGUUUGGAAAGGGGAAUGCGGAUAUAUAGACACGAAGUGUGCGUGUGUGUGUCUCUGUGUGUGUAUAGGUGUACGUGCUUGGAGGAAAAGUUGGAAUUGUAAAGCGAAAUUGCCCAUGGAAUCGACGUGCUUCUGUCUCUGUGUGUUCGAGCUCUGAGAGUUUAGUGAGCAUUCAAUGCUUUGUUGUGCAGACAAUAUACAGAGUCAAUUGCAGUUUAGUGCCAUGAAAAAUAAUAAUUUUAUGGUUUGGUGACUGAUGUUCAAAACCUUGCAUCUUCAUUGUUCAAACCAAAAUUUUGUUUAAAAUCAAUAUUUAUUUCUACAAAUCUAUACAAUACUAUUAAAGCCGAAAUAUUAAAAGUUUGGCCGGUCGGUACGCGUGCUUUUAUACGGACUUUUAUAAUUAGCGGGUUUUGUUGAUAGAGGAAUUUGGUGAAUCAACAAACGUGAGGUUCAUUGCCGGAAUACGGUGUAGCGUGGUGGUGAUAUGACGGAAAACCGUCGUAGGAUGGUAGUGUUAGGUGUUUGAGGGUGGCUGAGAUCAAGGGAAUAUAUCUUCGCUCUCGUUCUCACAACUCUCGAUAUCUCCCUUGAUGUGCCUACGUACCCCUUUAUAUAGGGGAUCAAGCCGUACGUAGUUCUAUUGAACCAAGACUCCUAGUUUGAUCAAGACUAGGACUCUUGGGGAUAAGACCAACAUCAAGCCGGUGACUUAUCACUUAGAGUUCUACUCCAGUUAGAAUUAAGCCUCGAGACAACUACCGUAGACUCCUAGUCCAAGUACAUCACGGAUACGGCAUCAUCUCCACUACGAGAGAUGACACUAACCGCUACUCUUUCGUAGCAUGGAGGAGACGUCCGAUAGAGCCGUGACCAACUCCAUGAGGUGUAGUGACGCGUCCUCACCCCUUAGUGAAGGUUCUCACUAAAGGGCAAGACAAAUAAGGAGCCAAGUUACACGAUCGUCUCAGUCCCCCAAUGAGGGCUAACUCACUAGAAUACAGGACCCAGACAUAUGAUCGGCCUUCAUGAUACCCCUGAGGGCCUUCAACAAUCAUGAUCACCUCAAGCCCCCGCACGAGGACAACCCGGCAGAUAGCAGGAUUGAGGAUUAUAGAUCACGCCCGGACGUAACCUGGGAACUACCAGAUGAGCCUGAUAACUACCAGAUGAGCCCGGCACUAGUCUUCAUAUCCCUCGGAAGGGUUGGUCUUCGUAUCCCUCGGAAGGGUCGUCAUUGAGACUCACUCAUCCUCACACAUAACAAAUUUACCUGUGGGCGCGACCAUGGAGGGCGCCCUUCUCCUUCCUUAUCCUGUCUUAUCAUCUCUCUCCAGUAACAGAGACCAUACCUUCUUUCAGACAAAGGUCUCACCUUCCGGGCUGACCCCGUGAAGGGCGCGCCCUUCCUAACCUUCAUCACCUGUCUUCAGAGCUUCGAACAUGACACAGCCAUCCAUGACACUCCUGUCCCCGCCACUCAGGGUCGCGCCCCACGGGAUCGCCCCUUGGAGGGCGCCCCCUCCUUCAUAUUCUCAUGGCCAAAACUGGCCAUAACAAGUACUCCCCAGAUUUUAUAAGUAUUGAAAAUAUUUAUGAAAUCUUCCCGACACAAUCCUCCACCGGUUGUCACCUGCUUGCAUAUACAAGGGCGCGCCCUUAGUGAAAGGCGCGACCCCUCCCAUCCGCCAGACGAAUUUGAAACGAUUCAGCCGUUAGAGUGGGACAGCUGGCACAACAACCCUCACCACUAUAAAUAUCGCACCACUUCAUCUCUUUCACCCAUUUUCACUCACUUUCUCUCUCUCUUCGACAUUCCAGCGGCGACUAAGCUUUUCUCCGGCCAAUACAGCACUUUCCGGCUACCUUCUUGCGAUUUUUCUCCACCAAUCUCACUCUUCAACUCUCAAGGUACAUUUUCAUCACUUCUUUAUAAGAUUUCAUCGAGUAAACUGCUAGAUCUACUCUUAUGCCUCUUCAGUUACUCGUCCGUUCUUGCUCAUUUCUAUGUAUCUAUACUUGUAUGUAUAUGUCUUACUCGUGUUUGAUCCAUAUUUCUCCAUCAACGAUGAUACAUAUCUUGUUUGCUUAGUAUAACUUAAUUUAAUUGAGGGCGCAGCCUUGGGUGAGGGCGCGGCCUCCAAGUACGUUCAUCAACCGCACGUAGAAUUAAGUUGAACUCGUAGCUAUUUCCCUUUGCUCUUUCUUCAAUGCUCUGUAGAUAAACAACCCAGGGCGCGGCCUUCUUUUUUAUGGCAGCAUCCUCUAAUACUCCCCAGUUACCUACCUUUGAUCACGUGUUCACCUUUCUUCUUUUCUUUUGAUUUUCCUUUCUUAUUCAUUUCCAAGGGCGCGCCUUUUAUAGCUCUUUCUUUUUAUUUUCAGCUGGCAGACGAGGGCGCGUCUCCUCCUUUUCACCCCUUUAGAGCAUUCUUGGGUCGCUUUGGAGUUUCUGUUUCCCCUCCUGAAGUCUUCUCCCCUUCGCCUCCAAGGAGCCCUCAAAAGGUUCCUCAAGAGUUUCUAAAUAAAAUAAACAAGCAACUAGCGGAAGGGACUUUCUGUUCAGACAUGGAUUCUUCUUCCCCCCAACCUCAGGGUACUUCUCAAGCUCAACCAUCUAGUCAUUGGGCGCGCCCUGAUGAUUAUGACUCUGAGAUUGAGUCGUGGUUCGUGGAUGCCCCUACUGCGCCCCUUAAUGCUGACAAGGCCGCGCCAUCAUCAGCUAACCCCAGAACCGAGGCCGCGCCCUCCAAACCUGAUAAGGGGAAGAACAAGGUGAUUGAAACUUCAUCACCUUCUCCCUCCCAGUCCCCCUCAACUCUAGACAAUUCAUCUGAUGAGAGCGCGCCUGAGGUGAUUGUCUCCUCUCCUGAGAGUUCCCCAGAAAGAUAUGAGCAUCCAAAAAUCGAAGCCUGGGAGGAGGACAUAUGACGGGGUACUUGAGCUUGUUUAGACCAUAUGAUCAAAGAAUUCUUUGUGACAAUAUAUGCCUCGUCGUUUAUGUUCUCUCUUGCACUAGUCUGUCCUGUUAAUGCGUUUUCUGUUUUUACAGAUUCUGGUUCCUGUACCUCAAUAUCCCCUUUAUUCAGCUGCAAUUUCUUUGUUUGGCGGUUCUCUUGUUCCCUACUAUCUGGAGGAGACAGCCAACUGGGGACUCGACAUUCAGAACCUACGCCAGUCAGUUGCUGAAGCCCGCACUAGAGGAAUAACUGUAAGCAUUUUCCAACUAUUGCAUACUGGCAGAAAGUUGCUUUGAUGAAUGGAUGCGAAGAUUGUGCUAAAAACAGAAACUAAAGUAACUGACAUAACCCUUUCUGUACACAGCUCUUUCAACUCUAAUUCACAUAAAAAUACCGCAAGCAAACAAUCAGUUCAAGCAUCAAACUGUAAUUCAACACGAGUAAUAGAUGUAAUUAACGCAUCAAACUGUAAAAAAUAUAACAUGCACAGCUCUUUCAACUCUAAUUCACAUAAAAAUACCUCAAGCAAACAAUCAGUUCAAGCAUCAAACUGUAAUUCAACACGAGUAAUAGAUGUAAUUAACGCAACAAACUGUAAUUCAACACGAGUAAUAGAUGUAAUUAACGCAACAAACUGUAAUUCAACACGAGUAAUAUAUGUAAUUAACGCAUCAAACUGUAAUUCAACACGAGUAAUAGAUGUAAUCAACACUAAAAGAGCUUCGAGAAUACCUCCGAAGAAAUCGCAAAACCCUAAUUUGAGAGUGCUGUUAGCUUUAGAGAGAGAAAGUGAGAGUGGAAUGAAAUGAGAGAGAAAGUGAGAGUGGAAUGAAAUGAGAGAGAAUAUGAUUAUGGGGAGUGGAGUGUGGUAUAUAUAGACAGGAAGUGUGUAUGCAGAGGUAAGGUGUUUGGAAAGGGGAAUGCGGAUAUAUAGACACGAAGUGUGCGUGUGUGUGUCUCUGUGUGUGUAUAGGUGUACGUGCUUGGAGGAAAAGUUGGAAUUGUAAAGCGAAAUUGCCCAUGGAAUCGACGUGCUUCUGUCUCUGUGUGUUCGAGCUCUGAGAGUUUAGUGAGCAUUCAAUGCUUUGUUGUGCAGACAAUAUACAGAGUCAAUUGCAGUUUAGUGCCAUGAAAAAUAAUAAUUUUAUGGUUUGGUGACUGAUGUUCAAAACCUUGCAUCUUCAUUGUUCAAACCAAAAUUUUGUUUAAAA
rnacentral:lncRNA from 1 species